rnacentral:lncRNA from 1 species
UAGUCGAAACUCAAACUGCAACUAUUAUAAAAUCUUCAACAAUUACAAUAGUGUCAAGAAAGACACCACUUAAAAUGUUGUUUAUUAGGACACUUACAAUGUUACAAUGUAGUGAAACUCAGCUGGAAGGUAAAAUUACAAUAUGACAGUAAAUUGCUGCAUCAUAAAUACGCUUUUGAAAGUACAAGCUUUAUUCGUGCAUGCCGGGUGUGAGGACCCGAAUUUUUAUUUAUUUUAAUCUUAUUUUAAUGGCUUAAUUAAUUAUUUAUCUACCCGUUUUCUCCAAAUAAUUUAUUUCAAUCUUUUUAGAUCCAAUUGCAUGGAAUUAUGAUUUGCUUAUAUUUUUAAAAUGACUCAUUUCAAAAUUUAAUUUUGAAAGGCUCGUUAAGUGAGAAUAGUGAAUACGCGUUUGGAGUCAAUAAUCGAUUCGAGAAUACAAUAAACUUGAAAAAUUGGAGACUUGUACAUUAGUCUUGAAAUAGGUAAUUUUAUGUUUAAGUGAUCAAUUAUUAGCUAGUGAUUCUAUCGUUAUAAGAAUUUCUUGAAAAUUCCACUUUAUUGCGCACAAAUCGGAAAUACGCUUUUUUGUGUGUGCGAUUAAUUGAGGGACUUUAGACCUUUAUUUUUAGACCAUUAAGAGUGAAUAAUAAUAAUAUGAAUAGAAGUGCAUUAGAGGUUUGGUGCACAAGUGAAACAAACUCGGGAGGAAUCGAGCACGAAACGCGCACAUGCGCGCGCGGAGGGAGAGUUGACUUUUGGACCAAUUGUGGCCACAAACUCAUAAGCUUCUCAAGGAAGCUUUCCCAUCAGCAAAACAAUUCUCUUUUUCUCACCAUAGCAGCCGUGCAUCAAGGAAAGGAAGAAGAACCAAAGCUUCUUCAUUUUUGCUUCAAUUCUUGCUUCAUUUCAUCUCAAAUCUUGCAACCAACUUUCAUACAACUUGGAGACCAUUUUGGACUAGGAAGAAAGCUUCACUUCUACGGUUUUUCUUGAGCAAGGAGGACCGAAAUUUCUGCCUUAAUCAUCUAAGAAAGUAAGUGACGAUCAACCUUGCAAAUCUUGACUUAUGGAAGUUGUUUAGCACUUAUGAGUUUAUAAUUUCUUAUGGGUAGCUUUAAAUUGUUGGAAAAUUGGUGAGUGGACUCUAUGAACUCUCACUAUGGCUUGAUGGACUGAUUUUGUGAGUUUUGAUGUUAAUAAUGUUGGAUUAGUGCUUAAAUUAGUAGAAAUGAGUGAUAUUAUGGAUGAAAGCUCAAAGGAAGUGAAGGGGAGAUUUUUCCAUUUCUGCCCCUGUGAAUGCCGUGACCUUUAGAGCAUUUUUUUUGAAGUUCUAUUGACUUGUUUAUGAUGUAUAUAUGUUGUAUGGGUUGUGUGGAAGGUUUUCACAAAAAAAUUACGUGAUUUGGUUGGCCAAAUGUGGUGAUUUCGAAAGUUCAUUCAAAAUUGGAAUUUUUCCCAUAUUGCACUGGCAGUGUUUUUAAAACAGAUAUAACUCUUUGCUCCGAUGUCGAAAUCGAGUGUCGUUUCCGGCAUUAGAAACUAGACAUUUCUAGUUUUCCAAUGGUAUAAAAUUCAUGCCCUGAUUCCACCUGAGUGAGCUGUACCAACCCUGUAAAGUUGUCUGUUCUGUUUUUCGUCUGUACUGGAAGCCUUGUUUUGAGUUGCGAUUUGAUGCUCAAAUAUGAGCUAGUUGUGGACAGAAUUUUAAAAUUAUUCCUUCUAAGAAAUUGUACCCUUAUGAAUGUAGUUUCCAACACCACCAACCACGCUCAAUUCCAAGUUGAAUUGAGUGAGUUGUGGCCGAAUUUCAAAACUGACUCAGUGAUGAAAAACCCUCUUUUUGGCUAGUUGAAUGCCUUAAUCUUGAUUGGGACUUGUUGUUUCGAAAUUCUUGGUGUUCAUCACCUACCAAAUAUAUAUUGUAUGUUUCUUAGACAUUGUCUACACAAAUGAAUCAUAUUUGAGAUGUUUUCGUUGGACAAACGUUUGGGAAACGGAAAACGGAACCACAAGGCAGUUUUGUCUUGGAAAUUCUUGGAAAUUUAGUGGCUUUGUUAACUGACCUUCCGUACGAAUUUUUGCAUGAAAUUUGACAGAGGAAUAGCCCUUAUAUGGUAGGGUAAUACUACCAAAUUUGGUGUCAUUCCAAGUCCUUCUCGAUGCCAACAGAUGUCCCAAAGUUUGCUUUUCAAAUCUGGAAAACUUUUCCUUUUCUCUUGGCCGAAUUGUCAAAUCUGAUUUGGGGAGUUAUAUUUCGAAAAUUGUGAUGUCCAUUACCUUUAAAUUUCUUAGUGGAUGUUUAUGGACUCUUGGUUUCGAAAAUGGAGUGAUUUAGAACUGAUUUCAUUGCACAAAACGUUUGCAAGCAAAAGAAAAAUGAAAAGGCAGAUUAGCCUUGAAAUAUUUCUUGAACUUUAGUUGUUUUAAUGACUGCCUUCCCAUGGGAAUUUUUGCAUGAAACUUGGUAGAAAUGUUUUUUACACAUGGAGGAUUUAGUGUACGAAUUUUGGUGUAUUUCUAAUGCCAAAUCGAUGGCCAAAUGAUAUUUCAAAGAUAGUCUUUAAAUCUGGAAAAUGACUGAACAGUUUGCGAAAUGUGACCGACUUUGGACUGAUGUCUCUCAAUACUCAAAACUCCGAUUCCUGUUCCAUCUAUUGUGUUUUAAACUUUGAUUGUAACUCUAAUUGAGUUCCAAAUUUUAGAGGCUAGUUCGCAUUGUGUGAAUUUUGCCGAAUUUCCAAACUUUGCCGAAAAUCAACCCAAAACUGUCUUAAUGGUCCAAAACAGCCAUUUUGAACCACAUUUCGAAUGUCAUCCAUUUGGAAUCAUGGAAAAGUUCUUCUUGAAAUUUUUAGUACUUUGGAAGUAGUUUCCAACGGUACCAAGUUUUCCAAUUUUGGACUUGUAGAGAGUGAGAUACGAUUUUUCAAAGUACGUGUAAGAAAUCUGAAAAUUCCUAAUUUAAAGGAAAUGGAGUUUUUCAAACUCUCUCUUUUCCUUUGAUAUCACUUGAUCAUUUUACACUUGAUUUCAAAGAUGAAAACCAGAUCUCUCUUGUGUUUUAAAACCCCACCUUUGAGCCUCAAUUUACGAUUAAUUAAGGCUCACUUUCAUGAGAUUUUCGUAGAUUGUACUCUAGUACAAUCUUCUUCGAUAAAUGGGGUUUCUAAGUGAUAGUUCAAUAUUAAUUACUCAGGCAUUCAAGAGAACAUUCAAAAGGAUCCCACAGUGGACACCUGAACCCUCAAGUGAACACUACUCCUUUGUUUUUGAUUGGUGAGUGUCAAGUGUAUGUAAACUUGAUAUGUGCUUAAUUGUUAUUAGUGAUUGGAGAUUUUGAAAAUACUGAGUCGAGUGUGUAUCUUACCACACUCGAUCUCAUUUGAAUGAUUCAUGAAUGACUUGAUUGAAUUGAAAUAAAUAAAUCAUGAAUGACUUGAUUGAUGAAAUGACUGAAUCAUGAAUGACUUGAUUGAAAUGAAAUGAAUGAUUAAAUGUAUUGAAUGAUUGAAUGAAAUGAUAAAUUAUGCUAUGGCUGUAUAAGUCGAUUGGAGCGAUGCCUCAUCGACCACUGAACGAUUGUAAGUACCACACCGAUUUGGUGGGAGGUAGCUCUCGAGUCGUCUCAGUAUCCUUAACCUUUGAACGAUAGCAAGUACCAUUCGGGUGAGAGGUACCUCUCGAAUCGUCUCAGAACCAUUAAGCAUUCGAAAUCGAUUGGAGCGGUAUCUCAUCGACCUCUGAACGAUAGCAAGUACCACACCGAUUUGGUGGGAGGUACCUCUCGAAUCGUUUCAGACCUAUAAACUGAGCGAUAGUAAGUACCACACCGAUUCGGAUAGGAGGUACCUCUCGAAUCGUCUCAGAACCAUUAAGCAUUCUAAGUCGAUUGGAGCGGUGUCUCAUCGACCUCUGAACGAUAGCAAGUACCACACCGAUUUGGUGGGAGGUACCUCUCGAAUCGUCUCAAACCUAUAAACUGAGCGAUAGUAAGUACCACACCGAUUUGGGUGGGAGGUGCCUCUCAAGUCGUCUCAGAAACAUAAAUGGAAUAUGUAAAGUGGUAUGAAUUUAAUUAUCUACCCGGGUGACGGGGUGUUGUCACGAGAAGGUAUUGGAUUGAACUUGGGCAAAGUAAACAAAGAUUUAACUCUUGAGAGCUCCUACAUCCUACUCAAGGGGGUUUAUUAUAAAUUGUGAAUUUCUUAAAUGUUAUAGUUUUCACUAUUGUGUAAGUGCUAUUGCUAUUGAAUUACUUGUCUUGCAUGUUUUCUUGGCCUCACGAGCAUCCGCUCACCCCGUUAGAUUUGUUUUCCUUAACAGGAGCUGAAAUGGGAGGAAUUCUGGAGAAGCUUACUUGAUGCUUCAUUUGAUUAGAAUUGUGACUGUAUUUGUUUAGAAUUUGAUUUUGGAAGCUGUAUAUUUUGGGAAUGUAAAGUAAUUGGGUAGAUUAUGAUGUAAGACUUGAACGUUUAUGGAGGAAUUGACCUUCCUUUAUCUCUUCGAUUUUUAGUAUCGAUUGGUUAUUAUUGAGUGUAAAUUAAAUUAGUACCGAAUCCUGGUGAGAGUUGGGCAGGCGUUCCGCCGAUACCCUUGGAUUCGCCCUUGGGAGAAGUGGGGGCGUCUUAAAAUCUAUUUGUUCUCUGAAAUCUCAAUGUGCAAUCCCUCGGGGAAACGAAUACCAGUAGGUGUCUGGAUUCUCUCUGCUCCAUUGGUAACUCUCCAGCUGAAAACUCAAAUUAGACAAGCUUUUUGAUCAGUUAUCACUUUUUUCUUGCAAUCAUGCAUAUUAAAAAACCCUACAAACUAUUUCAUCACCAAAUUCUCAAACCCUACAAACUAUUUCAAGGUUCUCAAAGGGACCCCUUGGUUCUUAAAUAAGACCUUCGUCAUGGUUCAAAUCUACCAACCUAUUUUUAUUGUCAAUUAAAACACCUCUCGCUUGACUUCUACUUGGGUCAAACUGUCGCAACUCGCAACUACUGGUGGAAUACUAUGACUUCGAAGUCCUAGCACUAGUAAAGAUUUCACUAGGUACGCUGAUCAAAAUUGAUGCAAAAAUAGCAAACUCAUAAGAUGAAAGAUAUGCCAGGCUAUGCAUCCAAAUUGAUCUCAGCAAAUCUUUGAAGCAUUCAAUCAAGAUUGAUCAUAUUACCCAAUCUCUUCAAUAUGAAGGACUUAAUUUCUGUUUCUAUUGUGGCUUAGUGUGUCCGAUGAAGGCAAAUAUUGGAACCUAACCUUUGAUCAGUCCAACUGCUAUGAUCAAAAACCCAAAUAUGGAUCCUAGAUGCUGGCCCCCAAAUUUCCUCUAAAGUCCAGCAAAAAGAUUUCUGUCUAGGCAGGCCAAACUUGGGCCUCAAUCUCAAACAACGUUUCAAUACCCCCAAAUUCAAAUUUCAAGUCCCCUGCCCAUUCCUCCAAACUUGCUCUUAGUCAACCUAAUGCCAGGACAACAUCUCAUACUUGUCAAACCUCAUUAUUUCCGAUCUCUAACCUUUCAACCAUCCUAGGAAAAACACCAUGCAAAAAAAAAAAAAAAAAUUGCUUUCAAUGCGGCUCCCUUCUCAACCUUGCCACAUAUAGGAACUAGCUUGCAUCCAAGUGGAAAACAUCCGUCCUGCAAUUCCUAAAGUAAAGUCUCCUCAUCCUCGAGAGCAACCCAAGAUUCUAAUAAUAGGGUUAAAAACAAAAAAACCUUCUGUGAUAUACCUAAUACACAGAAAAAUCCUCCGUGAUUUCAAAUUAUACAAAACGAUAUCUCAUAUUUUGAACUAAAUUGUAAACUAACGGAAUUCGUUAGACUUAAUAGAAUUCGGUAAAUUUAACGAAAAACUUAACAGAAUUUGGUAAAUUUAACAGUAAACUUAACGGAAUCCGGUAAGUUUAACGGCUGUGACGUCAUUUUCAUUAAGUUUAACGAAUUCUAUUAAAUUACAAUUUAGUUCAAAACAUGAACUGUCGUUUUGUAUGUUUUGAAACCAUUUGGAGCUUUUCUGUACAUUAGGUAUACCACAGGAGACUUUUUUGUUCUUAACCCCUAAUAAUAUGACGCCUCUCUCUUCACGCAAUGUAUCAAGGCUUGUCAACUGGUCGGAUCCGGGUUGGAAUUCAUUAUUCCGGAUCCGGGCCUACCAUACCAUACCGGACCCAGGCCUGACCCGUUUACCCGACGGGUCUUUUACUCUAUGUUCCGGAUCCGGAACCGACGGGCCUCGGAUCCGGGUAGGGUCUACUCGAAAAAAUUUAUCAAAAUUUACAAUUUCUAAUAAAAAUGAGAAAAAAUAUAUAUUUGUAAACUAAUUUCUAACUAAUACAAAAAAAACCAAAUAAGAAAAGAAAUCAAAUUAAGUUUACUCAAAUACAUCACCCUAAUCAAAUUAUAUUAAUAAAUAAAUAUAUUUUAAAUUAUUAAUCCAUUUAUAUCCGAAUCCGGGUAUAAUACGGGUCGGAAUACUAUAUUUCGUAUCCGACCCGUUUUUUGUUUGACAAAACGGAUUCGGAUCCGGGUCCGGGUAACAGAAUUAAAUCCCUACCCGUACCCGCAAUAAUUUCAUGGAUCCGGUCUGGGGACCGGACCGUUGACAGGCCUAAAUGUCCCACACCAACCCCUACUCACAAGCCAAAUUACCAAAAAAUUUCCAACCAAGAGAAAACCAUCCCCACCCAAAAACUGACCUUCUUGCAUGCUUAUCACUGCCUUGGCCAUAGAAACUGGACAGCAAAUAUUUGUUGGAGCCCACUGCCAGAUCGAUACUCAACAUCUCGCCCCCAAAGAAGAAGCUCCAAAGGCAAGAUGGGAGCCCCAAACUCACCUAUUUUUUACCAAAGGAGGAGAUGGAUUCCUCUCUCACAUCUCAUCCCUGAUCAAUUAGUUCAUCAGCAGUGGAUCUCGAGAUCCCAACUCUCAAAAGAGGACCCCCUCCCCGAUGAGAGGAGGUUCUAAACCCCGCCCCUCCCCUUCAGAAAACCCCGCCCUCUUUAAUAGCUAAUUGUAUUACUUUUGAAUAUAUUUAACUUGUAAUUUUUAGAUGUUCUUAAGUUUCUUUAUAUUUGACAUAUUAAUGUGAAUUUAGUAUUUUUAUCAUUAUUAUUAUUUUCAAUUAAAUUGGUGCCACGAUUCUUUUGUUCAUUUUGAGUAUAAAUAGGGCAAUUUGACUUCCAUUUAGUCACCACUUCAAAAGAGAGGUACCCCUAUUAUUAUUUAAAUGUCAAUUACAUGCUCUUAUGUGUUUAUAUAUUUUUAUAUGUUUUGUUAUUUGUUUGAUUCAAAUGUUUAUUCCAAUUUUCUUAAGUUUGUUUAGUUAAGUUUUUAAUUAUUUGAGAGGUGUUUAAAUACCUCAAGAUGUAAUUGAUAGGUAAUAUUUUUUACAAAAAUUGUAAUUAGAUAGACCAAUGUAAUAGAUAGAAUAUGUAGCUUUAUCUCAUACUUUACCCCAUUUAGAUUGUAGUUAGGCUUUCCGAUGUAAUAGGUAAGUUGUGUGUUUAUGUGGCUUAUGUGUUAUAUGCUUUAUCCACUUUCCUUAGGAUUUUUGCAUCUAGAUAUUAUGUUUACGUGUUACGUGCUAUAUGCUCUUAUGUGUUUAUUUGUUUUAAUUUAUACCUUAUUCAUUUUACUAUGUAUUAUUAAUGCAUGAUGUUACUACACUAGUCCAACGCUAGUUGUGGUUUCUCCCUCCGUUUACUUGCUAGUCCAACGCUAGUAAGGAUUUUUUAGAAAUGGACUAGUCCAACGCUAGACCCUUAGAUUGUUCAUGCGUUAGAUUCAUUUUUGUGUGAUAUUCAUUACAUUUUCAUGCAUAUUUUCAUUUUUAGGAUCUUUUCUCAUUUGUAUAAUAUUCCCUAUUAUUUUACCCCCUAUCCUCUAUAUGUGUUAAUCAUAUCAUUUAGAAUUGUAUCUUAUUUAAGAAAUUGUAGAAUAAGUUAGUUCAUUUGCUUGUUCAUAUAAGGAGAAUUAUUCUUUGAACAUGGAUAUGGGUGAUUAUAACUUUUUAGUUUAAAUACCCCAUCGAUCCCUGUAUAAGAGAAUUAUGUCACGAGUUUUUGUCUACCGUACCCAUUAUAUUGCAUUCCAAUUCUUUGGCCACUUAUAUCUAUAUAUAAUUUAAUUUUCUUUUCUUUUUAAUUUCAUCAUUUGCAUACUCGUGACACCUUCAAGAAAUUAUUUUGGCUUUCGCAAUUAAUGCAAUUGGUAUCAAUUAAACUCUUGAAUGGAUAUUUUGCUCCUUUCGAUAUUUUAUAAAUUUAGAUUUGCAUCCAUAUAGGAAACAUCAAAAUGUGAUAAAUUUAAGGGUUAGAUUAAGAAAAUUUUUUGCUAAACCUUGCAACUAGUUUAGACUAGGUUGAAAGGAUGCCUUAGGUUUUAGUUAAUCGAACCUUUGCCUUCCCUUUCUUCAACUGUGACUCCCGAACUCAUUUUCUCUUGUUUUUCAAAGACUUGGAAUUGUUGAAAAGGGUUUUAUUUUAUUUUAUUUUUGUUAAAAAAAUACUUUUGGGUGACUUGGUACACCAAAACUCAAUACCAAGUGGCGACUCCUCUUUUUUCUUAAAAAUCCUUUUAGACUAAAUUUUGGACCCAAAUUGUUGCAUUCUUUAAAGUCCCAUUUUAGGUCCUUUUUCACUUAUUUUUAAAUAAAUCACCUCUUUUUGUAAAUACUUUUUAUUUCCAUCGCGAAAAAUGGUGCGCGAUAGUUAUGAAUAUUACCACAGGUUGUUAUGAGUAGUUAUGUAGGCAUAAUUUCAACAAUUGUUUAUACCAAUAAUUGGCUCUAUCUUUAUAUAUUAUAUAUUCUAUAGAUAAUUUAGUUAAACACAAACAUAAUAAUAAAAAAGAUUCAAAAAAUGGAUUCAUGGCACAAAUGAUUCCUUCGAUUUUUUUUUGUCAUUUUUUUGUUCUUAUUUUGAGGAGUUUUCUAACAGAAGCUUGGGCGGCCGAUUCAGAGUGAUGCCCUGAAUUUAUCAGUAGCAGUACUUUUUCAGGCUUACCAGUUUAUAGGCCUCGCAAGAGGGUGAACAAAAUUUUUGGUUAAGCCUGUGAUACAAUCACACAAAUUCUGCUACUUUUUCUGGCUUACCAGCUUAUAGGCCUCGCAAGAGGGUGAACAAAAUUUUUGGUUAAGCCUGUGAUACAAUUACACAAAUUUAUAAGAUAAGAAUUGCUUAGUGCAACCAUAAAUACAAGAGAAAAUACUUAUAAUUAUUUUAUCAGCCAGUAUAAUAAGCUUAUUUAACAAAUUUUUUUGCAAUGAGUUCCAACAUAAUUUAGUCAACAUAAGUGAUUCAAGACUUGAUUGAUCCCUAUAAAAUCCAUAAUUGCUAAUCCACCUUAAUAGAUAUUACUUCACAAAUCUUUGCAUGUUUAAGAAGGUAAGUUUUAACUACGUUGAAACCUUGCUUAAAAAAAACUACAUUGAAACCUUCAUAUUCCCAAUUUAUAGUUCAUGGCAUAUACUGAUGAGCACAUCAGUACAAUCUGUAGAAGUAAGAGUUCACAAAACAUUAGAUGGUUUUGCUGUCUUGAAGUUCACCUAUUUUUUUGGUCAAUAUAAAACCCAAUAAGAGAUUUCAUUUCUUAUUUCUGUUCUGUAAUACAUGCUGCUCCACCUUCUUCCUACUAAAUCAAUUGCAUUUGCAAUUGAUUUUCACAAUUGCCAUUUGCAUUAACUAUUAAAGCUAAAACUAAAUCAAUGGAAAUAUUAGUACCAAAGACAGAACCGCGUGGGGUGGGAAAGGGCAACGGCCCCCAAGAUUUUUGCAAAUCUCAUUUGUCCCUCUAUAAAUUUGAAAAAUUAUAUUUUUAUUAUGAAUUUAACUUUAAGAAAUUAUUAUCAUAUUAUUUACUUGCACCUCCAAGCUUGAGAAUGUGGUAAAGUUUCAAAAAUACUUGCAAAUCGAAGUGUAAAAGAGUCUAAUGAAGUCAAACACUAAUCUUGUCUAUUUAUUUAAAGGGCUUAAAAUAUUGAACCAAGCUUGAUUAAAUAUUACACAUAAUUUUCAAAUAUUACUUUAAGUGAGUCAAGCUUGUUUUGGAUUUAAAAUUUUACAUGAUACGAUAUGCUAUUUAUGUUUUGUUUGAUUAAUUGGGGAAACAAACUCAAAUGAGCUCUUUGCAAUUCGAAUAUUGAAUAGUUUGGUUUCUCUUUCAAUUUAUUUGCAAUUAUAAAGUUCUAAUAUAAAAAAUUCUUUUGAUAUUAAGUUUGUUCCCUCUAAAAUUAUAUAUUAAUUUUCACCCCUUUCCCAAAUUAGAAAUCCUGGUUCCGUUAUUGACCCCUACCAAUAUCUACCUUGUAUAUAAGAAAAGAGCAAGGUUUAGUGUUUUCCUUUCCUCUUGCCACAUGGCUUCUUAAUUAUCUGACAAGUGGCAAGGUAAAAUGUUUCUUGCAAAUUGUCUAAAUCUAAAGCUUCUCUUGUCCGAGGCCUUCUAUUUCUUUUCCUUCUUUUGCCUUCUUUUGCCAUUACACUGUUACUGUAGCAUGCUGUCUCACUGACACAUGGCACUCUUGGUGAAUUUUUGAGCUUUCAUUCUUUCCUUUUCUUUUUAUAGGCAAUGGUAGAUAGAUAGAUUGGACUGCAUUGCACAAUGACCAAAUUUGGUCUGGCCUUGGCAUUCAAGUAUGAGGUCCAAUUAUUUUUAUUGGAAUUUUCAAUUUGUAAGCUUUUGAUAGAUGUAAUUCAAUUACAAAUUAUUAUUAUUAUUAUCAUUAUUUCAAUUUAUAUUUAUUAUGAUGUCAAUUUGAGAGAGUAUUUUUCAGAUCAUCGUAUUUUCAAAAACAAAAAGAAAUAUUUAAAAUUGAUUUCAAGCUCUAGGUCUUGGACAGAUGUAAUCCAAUUAUAAUAUUAUUAUCAUUAUCAUUAUUUGAAUUUAUAUUUAUUACGAUUUGAAAUAUCAUUUAAACUUAUAUUUCACAGAUUAACUUGAUUUUAUUAAAAAUCAUAGAAUUCUAUUCGUCUUUUCGAAAGUUUAUAUUUUUUUUACUUUUUUGCUAUGCUAUUAAUAUAACUUUUGCUAUUUUAGAAGCCGUCAAAAAAUGAUAGAAAAAUUGUCACAUUUUCAAAAAUUAAAAGAAAUAUCAAAAUCUGAUAGCAAGAAUUUUAUUAUUUUAAUCUACAUGCUAAAAAAAUAUUUAAACUUUCUUAAUCAAACCUUGGCUAUUUUUGAACUCGGAGGAAAAGAAAAAGAUAUCUUCAAAGUGGGAAAAUGAUAAAAAAAAAUAAAAAGAAAAGAAACUGGUUCCAAUUUGUUAUAAAUGCAAAAAUGAAAUAGCCAACUAAUAGAAUAUACACUUUCGAAUCAAUUUUAUUUUAAUUUAUUGAUAUGUGAACAUUUGUCUUUUAUUUUGACAAAAAAAAAUUUUGUUGAGCAAAUGAAUGCAUUAAUUUCUGAAUGACAAAAAAUAUAUGCAUUUGUUUUUUUAAGGAAUGGCAGGGUAAAAUGUUUCUUGCAAAUUGUCUAAAUCUAAAGCUUCUCUUGUCCGAAGCCUUCUAUUUCUCUUCCUUCUUUUGCCAUUGCACUGUUUUUUUCUCAAAUUGCCGUUGAAUCACUUCGUAGCAGAAAAAAGGAAGAAUUCACUGGUAAAUUCAAACCAAGUACAAUCCCUAAAAGAAGCUGAUUCUUGGGGCAAGUGCAAUCACGUGCAUGUGGAGGGUUUUUGUGGUUCUAACCGAAAGAAAGUACAAUGCUUUGUUCAGAAAAUUGGUAGAACAGUAGCAUCUUUUGCAGGUUCAUAUUCAGUUAUCUGAGUGGAAGAAACGGAGAAGAAGAGAUUUUGCUACCAAACCCAGCAGGCAACACCCCUCUUCAAGCCUUCUAUUUCUUUUCCUUCUUUUGCCAUUGCACCGUUUCUUUCCCAAAUUGCGGUUGAACCCUUUUCCCUCCUUUCUCUCUACCACACGGCUCUUCUGAGCACAAAUUCGGCGCAUUUAUCCUCAGCAAGUCCAAUUCCAGCUGCCUAUGCUGCCAAACCCAGCAGGUCAACAACCCUCUUCAAACAUGUAAAAAGUUUGGAUAUGACAACAGAUUAUAGGGGGCCUAGGCUGUGCUUAGCACAGCCGAUAACCUCCUAGUUGUUAGACAUGUUUUAAUAAACACAAGCAAGAAUCUAACCCAAGAAACAGAUUAAAUUGACACAACAAUCCAAUGUACAGCUCAUUUUAGCCCGUUACAUAAAUCAAGCCUAGUCAUGGCCAUUGAGACGGGCACAUAACCCAAGAAACAGCUUAAAUUGACACCAAAAUCUAAUAAAUAGCACAUUCUAGCUCAUUAGAUGAAUUAAGCCUUAGUGGUUGUCAAAAAAAAAAAAAAAACCCUAGUCUUGGCCAUUGAGAGAGGCAUAUAAAUUAACCAUCGAAUGACAAAUACACUUAAAACAAUAAGCAAUGACCAAUAACUUGCACAUAGAAAGUAAGUUUAAGUAAGGAUGGCAAUGGGGCGGCCACCCGCGGGCAGCGGGGGGCUAAUAAGGCGGGGUUGAGGGGAAUUUUUUUUGCCCCCACUUAGAAACGGGUCCACGGGUCCCCCGCCCCGCCACCCAUUUUUAAAAAAUAAAUAUAUGUAUAUAAUUAUAUAUAUAAUAUAUAAUUUAAUUAGUUACAAACUUAUGAUAAUGAUAUUAUUAGUUAUAUGUAUCAUAUAAUGUAUAUUAGUAUAUGUAAUAUAAUUGAUAUUAUCAAUUAUACUAAUAAUUAUAUAUGUGAACUAAUACAAAUUAUUAAUUGGUUAUACUAAAUUUACUAAUACAUUUAUACUAAAUCCGUAAUAACACUUAAUAUAAUAACAUUUUUUUCUCAAAAAAAAGCACAAGCACAAUAAUGAAUUAGUGAUUGUAUUUGUGCUAAAAGUGAAAACUUGACUACUUUAGUUGUAUUAAUUUCAUCAUGUUGGGUUGUAUUCAAAUAACUUUUGUUUGAUUGUUUUUAUAAGUAUCAAUUAUGAAAUUACAAUGAAUAAUAAUUUGGUGAUGUGUUGAUAUUUUAGUAGUUGAUUAUUUGCUAAAAUUUAACUAUAAUAAAAUUAUAUAACAAAUUUUUAUUAGCCCUUGUGGGGAAGCCGGGUGGGCGGGGGGAGUGGGGGAUGGGGGACGGGGCGGGGGCGGGGGAAAUUUGUAGGCAACGGGGCAGGGGACCUAUUGCCAUCCUUACGUUUAAGUUGAACUCCACCACAACGCCUCUCUUUAAGAGAUUAAAUAUUAUAUGGAUUUUUUUUUCCAGCAACAAUUUGGCAUAAAAAUGCUUUCAGAUAACAAUUUAGCAUAUAAAUGCAUGGUCGGCAAGAUUACAUACAUAAAUUCGUAUGUAAAUAGUAUAUACACUAGUAUUUAUAUUUCAAUUCAAAACAAUACUUAUAUAGUAUAGUAUAGAAUAAAGUAUAUGAAAAAGGUAAAAAAAUUUAUAAAAGUGUAUUUUUAAUAUGUUAAAAAAAAUUUAUUUCGUAAAUACAAAAUGGACUUUCUUAAUUUUAAUAUCUUAACUAAGUUGAAACCUAAUUUUGUUAACCUAUUGUUUUGUCAAUAUAUGAUAACAAUUUGAAUAAAAUAAUUUAAUUUAUAACCAUUUACAUGAUAGAGCAAUUGUAAACUUAUUUAUCAAUAUAUCAUGUUAUACCUAUAUAUCAAAAUUUUUAACAUUAAAAAUAUAAAGUAUAAUUAAUUCAUUUUCCUCAAUUUUAGAAAAUUAUUUCUCCCAUCUUUGUAAUCCUAAAAUUGUUGAGUGCUCAUAGAAUAACAUUCUUCAUAAACUUUAAUAUAGAUUUAAAAUAAUCUUAGUAAGGUGUGUUUUUAAAAUUUUCAAAAUUAUUAAAGACUAUCAUCCUUUCCAUUCUCUUUUACCUGCUAACUAGCUAUUUGCUGCAUUCUAUGACUUUCAAAUCUUUUAUCGCGGUGCCAUACUUCCUGUCAUAUCCCCACAAUCCCAUUCUUUCUUCUCCCCACUCUUCGUGCAAUGUUGUAAUAGUUCACUUUCCUUUUUUGAUUUUUCCUACCACUCUUUAACUCUUCGUUAUUGUUUUUCCCUCGUCUAUAGCUAGUCUCUAGUUUUCUAUCAUUGCCACCCAAUUUCCUAUUAUUUUCCCUUCACCAAUCUCCCAAACCCUUUAAAUCCAUAAUUUGUUUUUUUAAGACUAGUAGUACUUUGUUUUUUAUUCAAUGAUUUCAUAAUUUAGGAUUCACUUAUGGUACCAUUAUUGAUAUUUUAAAUCCAUGACCAAUGACUAUUAUUUUCUUUUUGUUUUCUAUAUAAUUUGCCCUUUCAGUUAGGAUUACUAAGUUAAAGGGUAAAAUAUUGUUAUAUUUACUUUUUUACUUUUAGUAGGGUUGGUGUUUUUUCCUCUUUAUUAACCCUCAUUAAUAGACUUCAAAUCAAAUACCUAUAUAAGGGGGUCACUUCUUACUAUUAAAUUCAAGCGACAUGAAUGGAUAUAUAACAAUUUAAAAAAUCCAAAAUUCUAUAAAAAAAAAAAAGAAUGAGGAGUUGUAAGCACUCUGAUUUAACCAUCCUAAAAUCCCACCCUGCAAUACAUAUAGACAUAGAUAUUUAAAAGUUAUAGAACUAAAAAUAAGGAUAAAUUUGCUUUACGUUUCAAAGAUUGUGCUAUAUUUAUACGAAUUUUAAACUUACUUUGUGUAUGAUACAUUAAAUUUAUUAAAAUUUUAUUACUUAAAUUUAUUAUAAUGUGUAUGAUACGUUAUUAUUAAAUUUACUUAAAUUUUGUGUAUGACACAUUAAAUAUAUUAAAAUUUUAUUAUUUUGUUACUUAAAUAUGUAUAAUUUUCUAGUUAUUUAUGAUGUACACUGCUCUUAUUUUGUAUAUAAUUCAAAAGUAUGUCAUUAUCCUUAUUCAAAUUUUAAAUUUUUUCAAAAAUUGAAAUAUAAUUCAUGAAGUAUAAUACGUUAAAAGUUUAUUACAUGCUUUAUACGGUGAAUUGAAAGGUACAAGUGUUUUUUAGAAUAAUUUUAAAAUAAUAUAUAUGAACAUGUAUUAUAUAGGUAUAAUAUGAGUAUUUAUUAACUAUACUUAAGAAUGAUGUCCAUUAUGAUUAUAAUAUGAGAAGGGUAUGUUUAGUGUAUAUUUGGUUAUCCUGACGUACAAUACUAACUUUUAUUCAUCUAAAAAUACCCUUGGUUCGUCCACUUGUUCUUUGCAAUGCUAAAGUCAGAGAAGCAAUUUUCACGGGAAUCGUGAGUUUCGGAACAAUUGAACACAAUUUUGUAUGUUUGGAUACAGAAUAAUGCCAUUUACUCUUUGUUCUUUUUUACCGCAUAGUAUAAAAGUUCUAUGGUUCCAUCCACAUAAGAAGCCAAAAGGGUGAAGAGAACAUUCGAUAAAUUAAGCCAAAACUGUUUAAGUGCAAAAAUACAAUUUAAAAACAUCUAGGGGGUGCAAUGUCUAAGAAAAGUUUUCGAAAAUUUUUGGUUAUUUUAGUUGCAAUCUUUGUAGAAAUGUAUUGCCUUCCUCAAGGUAACCUGGUCUACUCCUCCGUGAUCAAUCAUGUGGACUGAAGUUCGUAUGCUUCUCCACCUUGAUGAUGAAUUAUUGCUCGUAUUCUUUCCUUGAAUUUAUAAAUAAUUAUCUAGCUUCCUAUUUAUCUUUUUAAAUAGGGGAAAAUUUUAAGCUUUGUAUUUGCUUGAUUGGUUUUUUAUUUUACCAUACACACGUGAUUGUGAAAUUUGAAAUGUGAGUUGGAACUUUGUAUAUCCAAAUGAAGCUUUUAUUAAUUUGUCCUACGUACCAAGUAGUUGGUUAUGUCUAACAUAAAAUUUUUCAUGAAGCGAGUACUUGCAAAUAAAUUAGAGAUAUAGUAAUUCUAAUAGGAUAAUAUUCUAAAUACUCUCUGCAUCCCCAAUAUUCGAAUAGGAUAAUAUUUCUCAAAAUAUUGUUAAAAAUUUUUAAAAGAAAAUCCGGAAAAUAAGGGAGGUGGUGGAUCUUUUCUUCAUUUAGGGGUGCCGAUUUUGGCAAAAUCAACAAAAAUUGGCACCGCUUACAUGCAGCUACUAAACACCUUUCUUUAUUUUUUUUGAACUUUUUUAGAAAUGUUAUUUUUUAGAAAAAUUUUGGAAACUAAGGGCCGCAUGUACUGCAUGCAGCCCCCUAUUUUACAAUAGCCCUAAUUCCUUAUCUUGAGGGUGUGAAAUCAUUAAUCGUUCAAAUGUCGACAAACCCUUGAUCAACUUCUUCAUUUAGCCAUUUGAGAAGGCACCACUUUUCCUACAUUUUUAAUACACUAUUCACUAGCAUUCUGAUCCAUGCAAUGCAUUGAUUUAUAUUUCAAUUCAAAACAAUACUUAUAUAUUAUAGUAUAGGAUAAAGUAUAUGCAAAAGGGGAAAAAAUUUUCAAAGAAGUGUAUGCUUAACAUGUUUAAAACAAGUUUAUUUCAUAAAUACAAAAUGGACUUUCUUAAUUUUAAUAUUUUAAAUAAGUUGAAACCAAAUUUUGUUAACCUAUUGUUUUAUCAAUAUAUGAUAACAAUUUGAAUAAAAUAAUUUAAUUUAUAACCAUUUACAUGAUAGAGCAAUUGUAAACUUAUUUAUCAAUAUAUCAUAUUAUACCUGUAUAUCAAAAUUUUUAACAUUAAAAAUAUAAAAUAUAACUAAUUCAUUUUCCUCAAUUUUAGAAAAUUAUUUCUCCCAUCUUGUAAUCCUAAAAUUAUUGAGUGCUUAUACAAUAAUGUCUUUCAUAAACUUUAAUAUAGAUUUAAAAUAAUCUUUAUAAAAUGUGUUUUUAAAAUUUUCAAAAUUAUUGAAGACUAUCACCCUUUCCAUUCUCUUUUAUCUGCUAACUGAUUAUCUAUUGUCUUCUAUGACUUUCAGACCUUUUAUCACAAGUACCAUCUUUCAUGUCAUAUCCCCACAAUCCCAUUAUUUCUUCUAGAUUUUUCCCAUCUCUCCUCUCUCCGUCUAGAUUUUUCCCAUCACUCUUUUAACUCUUUGUUACUAUCUUCCUCUCGCCUAUAGUUAGCCUAUAGUUUUCUAUCAUUGCCACCCAAUUUCCUAUUAUUUUCCCUUCACCAUUCUCCCAAACCCUUUAAAUCCAUAAUUAGUUUUUUUAGGCUAGUAGUGUUUUGUUUUUUAUUCAGUGAUUUCAUAAUUUAGGAUUCACAAAUAGUACCAUUAUUGAUAUUUUAAAUCCAUGAUCAAUGAAUAUUAUUUUCUUUUUGUUUUCUAUAUAAUUUGCCCUUUCAAUUAGAAUUACUAAUUUGAAGGGCAAAAUAUUAUUAUUUACUUUUUUACUUUUAGUAGGGUUGGUGAUUUUUCUUUUUUAUUUACCUUCACAUUAAUAGAUUUCAAAUCAAAUUCCUAUAUAAGUGAUUAAGUGGGCCACUUCUUACUUUUAAAUUCAAAAAACAUGAAAAUAUAUAUAACAAUUUAAAAAAUUCAAAAUUCUAUAUAUAAAAAAAAGGGAAUGAGGAGUUACAAAUAUUCUAAUUUAACCAUCCUAAAAAGCCUACCUACAAUACAUAUAAACAUAGAUAUAGACAUAGAUGACUUAAAAUUUUGAAUUUGUUUAGUCAAAUUUUAGAUUCAUCCAAGAUCGUCUCUUCCGGACAAAAUGGUCACAUGAUUCCGUACAGUCUUGCGUUAAAUUUCUGCUCUAUCAUCCAACGAGUAGUUGGUUCGCGUUCAAUCAAAUGGUUUGUUUUGACUGAUGGUCCAAAAUCUAUGGGAUAUGCCAAAAAUUUAGUCAUUUUUCCUUUUUUCCAACAAACGACCAAAAAUUUAGUCAGGUAUGGGCGCUUUACUCCUUUAGUUAGAUGUAGUUGUCAAAUUGGACAUUGCUACGAAAUAAUUAAAUAUUAUGGAUGUAUAUCAUAUUUAUCUCAUUUUCUAAAUAGUGACAAGUUUUUCACAUUUUUCAGAGUAUCAUGACUUUUGAGGUGACAGAGACGGUACGACUUUCGAUAAAAUUAUCACCACUUUUGAUAAAAUUGACACGAUCGUCAGCAAAACUAUGAUGACUUACAAGAAGAUGUUAUUACCAUCUUGAAAAUGUUUUUGAUGUACUUUAAAUUCCCUUGUAAAUAAGGGUAAAUCCUCUAGUAUCAAAGUAAUAGAAAAUAGAAAUUUCAUAAGAAUAGUUCUUUUCUUACUUUUUUUUAUCUCCUGAACUCUUUAAUUUUUUUUAUUUUUCUUAACAUACUAUUCACAUCAUAAAUAAUUCAAAUCUAUAUCUAUAUAAAUUUGAGAAGGGAUUUUUAGCAACAAGCAUCCAUACAUCUUCCCACUAUCAAUUUCAUUUUUCUAGCAUUUCAUAUUUAAUUUAAUUUAUAAAAUAUUUUCCUCUUAACUUCCACGUCUACUCUUCACAUUUGAAAUUGUUAGUUGCUUUUUAAAAUCAUUCCAUUUCAAAUUGUUGGUUAAUGUACAUGUUAUCCUAUUUGAACUUCAACCCAUCACGUUUCCAAUUACCUUACAUUAUUUAUGAUUCUACUCCAAUUAAAACUUCUAUAAGACUAUAACAAGAGAUAACAAAUAUAACAUCCUUUCAUGCUUUCUUAUUAAUUUAAAUAAGUAAGAUUAUUUACACUCUAUUUUUGUUAUGCACACUUCAAUAAUCAUUUUGAUCAUAUAAUUUUCAUUAAUUAGACUAUAUGAUAAAACAAAUGGUGGAAUUGCAAAUAAUAAAAAAUGAAUUGCAAAUAACGUUUUCCUAAAUAAUAAAAAAUGGAGUGCAAAUAACAUUUUUUAAGUAAGAAGUGGCUUCCGUGCCUUUCUAAUUUAAAUAAGUAAGGAGUGGCUCCACUUACAUAGUAAUUUGGUUUGAAGUUUAUUAGUGGGAGGGUAAAUAAAGAGAAAACAUUGCCAAACUUAGUAAACGUAAAAAAAUAAAUGAUAAUAUUUUAUCUUUUAACUUAGUAAUCCUAAGUAAAAGAACAAAAUUAAAUAGAAAACAAAAAGGAAAUAAUGUCGUGGAUUUAAAAAAUCAAGAAUGGUACCAUUCAUUGAAAUCUAAAUUAUGAAAUCACUAAAUAAAAAAAAAAAAGUACUACUGACCUUUUAACAUGGAAUUUGUUUUUUGAAAUAUUCAUUUUUGAUAAAAAAUAAUGAUAACAACAACACCAAUCCUACCAAAAAAAUUUUAAAAAGUAAUAUUAUAGUUUAAGAGAAAAAUAUAGAACAUUCGACCCUAAAAUACUACUUAAUUUGUAUAUAUUUGAUCCAAGUUUGACCCUGAUUAGAUUUGAAUAAGAGUGCAUAACCCAAACACUAAGGAUAACUUUUGAUAUCAUUAAUUAUUUUAUAUAUUCUUAUUACUGUCUUCAUAUGUAAAUAAUAAUAGAGAUGACAAAGAUGAAAAAAUAAUAAUAAUAGAGAGAGUGGUACCAUGAUAGAAGAUACGAAAGUCGUAGGAGGCCUCUGAUGACUAGCUAACGGAUAAGAGAAGAGGGAAAUAAUAGUGAUUUUUAAUAAUUUUGAGAAUUCUAAAAACAUAUAUUACAGAGAUUUUUUUUAAAUAUACGUUAAAGUUUAUGAAAAAUGCUAAUCUAAAUGCAGUCAACAAUUUUAGCGAUACAAGAUAGGAGAAAGUUUUUUUUUCUAAAAAUGGAAGAAAAUAAAUUGGUUAUAAUUUUUUUUAUUAUAAGUUUUGAUAUAUGGGUAUAAGAUAAUAUGUUUUGUCGGAUGCUGAUAAAUUGAUUUUUUUUUUUAGAAAACUCUUUUCACCUUACCACCCAAUCUAACCCUUUCCUUAAAUGAGUUAACAAUUCCUCUAUCAUGUAAAUCAUUAUAAAUUAAAAUUUUUUUAACAUGUUAAGCAUACACUUCUUUAAAAUUUUUAGUCUAUAUAUAUAUAAAUAUAUAUAAUAUUAUUUUGAUUUGAAAUAUAAUCAUAGCACGGGUCAAAAUACUAGUUAGUCUUAAUUCUAUAACAGACAUUCUUUCUUUCUUUCUUUUUGUCAAAUUGGACAUUCACUGGCCUCGAUUGCGUCUACUCUCCAGUUUGGAAAUGGGGCAGGGACGGUCAGUAUGACCGUCCUGAACGGUUAAUGGCCAUGAUCUGACCUCAAAAAUUUGUGUGAUUGAAAUCACAAGUUGUAACUCGAUUUCCACGUCAUGUAUGGAACCUACAAAAAUUUGCUUUAAAGUUAUGCGAUGUGUAAAAAAAUUACGCGAUGUACAAAGAAUGUUACGCGCAAUUGAAAAUAUGCAAAAUCGUCAAGUUUCAUCCCCUCGGGCAAAGAACGGACAAGCGGGCGACUAAUCCGAAAACCACGUCAGUGACAAAGGAUCGACAAAUGGUAGGAGCUGUCCUAAUAGAGCGUCGCAUCCGCUGAAGGAUUGGGCUCUUUGCGACCGUUUGCGUGUCGUAGUUGUGGGUCCCGCAACAAACUUUUCUCCAAAAUCCUUUUUUUUUCGUCGGUACGAAAGAUAAUAUAUUAAAUUAAACAGAUUUUCUAGAACUAAAUUCAAUUAAAUUAAUCAUUACGCUGCAUUAAAUUAAACAAAGGAUUGGGCUCUUCACAACCGUUUGCGUGUCGUAGUUGUGGAUCUCGCGAUAGAUUCUUCCCCAACAUCAUUUUUUGUCGGUAUGAAAGAUAAUCAUUACAUUAAAUUAAAUAGAGUUUCUAAAACUAAAUUAAAUUAAAUAGAUCACUAGUAUUUUGCCCGUGCCUUAACACAAUCUUUUUUUAUUUAUUGCAAAUUUAUAUAAAUAUAAAUAAUAUAAAUACAAAAAUUAACCACAAUCUUACAUGUUCAUAUAAAUAUUAACUUUAAAACAUUAAUGUAUUCUAAAUUUUCAAUUGUUCACUAAUUUUUAAAAAUGUGUUUACAUAUUUUCACUAUAAUACGAUAUUAUAUAUCAAAUCAUGUACCACAUAUCAAAAACUUGGUAGAUAUUCUUUCUUUUUAUCAAUAUUCUUUUAGAUAAUAUAAAUUUUUAUAAUGACCAUAAAUCUAAAACUAUAUAUUCAUAUUUCAUUAAGUAGAAAAAUCCCGCAGUUCAUUUUUCUCGAUUAAUAAAUAUUUAGUUUUCAACAAUAUUGGUAAAUUUAUCGGUGUAAUAGUUAAUUCUUUUUUUUAAGUAAGUUAAUUCAAAAUUAAGGGAAUAGAUGAUGAACAAUUUGAAUACUAAUCAACAGUACGGCUGUAAAAGAAAGUAAUUUGGGAUAUGUAAGAUUUCAAUAAUUAUGAUUAAGAAAGUAAUUUGAGAUAUAUAAAAUUUCAAUAAUUGUGAUUUGAGGUUUUACUCUAACUCUAAAUGUAAUAAUUUGAUAGAAAGUAAAAUCAUUAAGAUAAGGUUGGUUGUUUUUAAAACAAUAUCUUUAAGAUAAAAUUAGUUAUUUUUUAAAGUUAUUUUAAAAUUAGAGAUAAUUUUUAAAUAUAUAAUAUAAUCUAAUUAGAAUUUAAUGUAUAUAAAACUCAAAUGACCUAUAACUCGUUAAUUCUUUUCAAUUAAACAUGCCAUAUCGGAGUGAGAAAUAAUUCUAAUUAAAAUAAUUAUUUUCAUAUAUAUAUAUAUAUAUAUAUAUAUAUAUAUAUUACAUUACCGUAAAUUAAACAAAGGAUUGGGCGCUUCAUAAUCGUUUGCGCAUCGUAGUUGUGGGUCUAGCAAUAGAAUUUUCCCCAAAAUCAUUUUUUUUUAUCGGUAUGAAAGAUAACCAUUACAUAUCUAGAACUAAAUUGAGUUAAUUAAUCAUUACAGUACAUUAUAAAUUAAACAAAGGAUUGGGCUGCUCGUAACCAUUGACGUGUGGUCGUUAUGGGUCCCGCAAUAGAUUUUUGCACCUGAUUCUUUCGUUGUUUUAUCGGUAUGGUGCAAACGAGCUGAGUCGAAUCGAGUUUUGACCUAAUCAAACCGAGCCUCCAGUUAAUUUUGUGAAACUCGAACUCGAGCUUGAACUCGACUCAAAUUCGAGUCGAGCUCGAGCUUAAAAAAUAAAAUAAUAAUAAUAAUAAAUUUAUUUUAAAAAUGAAUAAAAUAAUAAUUUUUUAACAAAUAAUAAAAUAUUAGGAAUAUAUGUGUAAUUUUACUAUUAAAAUAAAAAAUAAGAAAUAAAUAUAUAAUUGAGCUCGCGAGCCAACCAGCCUAAUGUUUUUGAACUCAAACUCGAGCUCGAACUCGAUUUAAUUAGUUCGAGCUCACAAGUGAUUCGAUUCGUGAAUAUCCCUAGGUAUGAAUGAUAAUCAUUACAUUAAAUUAAGCAGAGUUUCUAAAAAUAUCUUUGCAAUCGUUGAUGAAAGAUAAUCAUUACAUUAAAUAAAACAGACUUUCCAGAGAAGUCCUUGCAAACGUUUUCAACAAAUUUAAGAAAUGCUCAUAGGCUCACAAGGAAACAAGAGCUUCUUUCAACCGUCAGCUUUCCUAAACACGUGCUUAAGACUAGUUGUUGGAAAGCUGUGCAAGAUGCUCUUGCAAUCAUCUUGACAAUCCUGCCAAUCCCUUCCUGCCAUGUUGCCCUCUUCCUUCAAAUCAUAUAAUACAAAGGGAUAAUUGCAAAAACCUCCCCUGAGAUUUCUAACACUUGCACUGACCUUCCCUGUGGUUUGAAAAAUUGCACUGACCUCCCCUAAACUUACCAAUUCUUUGCAAAUUCAGUCCAAACGAUUAAAAUAUUGUUUUAGGGAGUGAAAUUAGAAUUUUAUAUCAGAUUUGCCCUUUGUGCUACAUGUCCAAUAAAUGACAAAAUACUACAAAUCAAUUAAUAAUUAAUAAACUUUAAGGGAUAUAGUUUAUAGGCAAAUAUGCAUUACCCAUUUAAAGUACCGUUUCUUUAUGGAUAUUUUACUUUCAAAUAUUUAAUUUAUGAUAAAUAUAUCAAUGUUUGAAAGUAAAAUAUAAAAAGUGUUACAGUAAUAUUCUUACAAAAAAAAAUCGAUAUUUUAAGAAUAGUGGUUUAAUUGUGAUGUUUUGUACUUUUCUUUUUAAUUUUACUAUAAUAAAUUUAAAUUUUAAAUUUGAAUAGUAAUAUGCAUGUGAUUAGAAAUAAAGGUUAUAUUAAAAAAAAGAUUAAAAUGUACUUUGACUUUUGCAAUAUGAUAAAUAUUUUAAUAUAUUUUAAAAUAAAAAAUCUGACACUUUCAAUGGGACGAAAGGAGUAUAAAUUAUAUUACAAAAGCGAUGCCAUAUUAUAUCGUAUGAUUGAUUGUCUUAAUCACGAAACGAUACUUAAAAGAAAUGUUGUUUUCGUAAUUUGCCAGCCUGGAUUAGAACAACUAAAGCGGCAAAAUUUAGUGCGGUAAAUUAUGACUAUCCCCAGCGUCGUGCCCAUCAAAAUCAAAUUGUGCGGUGUGGCCAAGAGAAUUUUUUAUUCUUUUAUUUGUUUAUAUCAACAUGCCGGAAUCCCGUACACAAUAUUGCUUUGGUAUUUGUGGGGAAAGAGAGAAGAAAAAACAAUAAUGUCAGCGUUUUUGGAGCAGCACAUGCGUUGUCUGGUGCCCUCCAGAAUUGAGCUACGUGUCGUGCUUAAAUGGCACCAGAUUGACGUUCCUAGGGUGGGAAAGCCCAUACCAUUCUUACCAUAUACAAUUCCAUGAUAAAGAGGGUCAGGUCAUAGAAAAAUCCACUCCAUCCGUUGAUAUUGCCAUUCUUUGUUGGAUUGUUCCAAAUUAUUUGUGAUUUAUAUAAAUUAGAUGAUAUAUUUCUAUUUAAUUUCUCCAUUUAGUCAUUUACUCCUGAGACACUCCGUAAAAGUUUAAUGCAUGAGUCUUUUUAUGAGUUCAUAUACUAUUAUCAAGGAAACUAAAACAACAAUUUUUGUAGUACGUAACAGUUAUUAAAUACUUGAGAUCACAACAAUCUAAGACUUGGUAGAACUUUCAAAUAUCUAAGAUUCUGUUGUUUUUCAAAACCCAGGGUUGAACAAAUAUCAUGGCCCCACAAUUCUUUAAGAGCUAGACACUACACAUGAAGUUUCAAAUUCUAUCCACUAUUAAUAAAAAUUGCAAUUUUUGAAGUGCAACAAACUUUAUAAGAUGAAAGGAAGGAGUAAUACUUACCGUGUAUAUAUAUAUAUAUAUAUAUUGUUUCUUGGCUUGAUUUGUCCCUGUAAAUAAGAUCAUUGUAUUGAUUUAGUGAAGAAAAACAAUUAGUCGAAACUCAAGCUGCAACUAUUAUAAAAUCCUCAAUAAUUAUAAUAGUGUCAAGAAAGACACCACUUAAAAUGUUGUUUAUUAGGACACUUACAAUAUUACAAUGUAGUGAAACUCAGCUAGAAGGUAAAAUUACAAUAUGACGGUAAAUUGCUGUAUCAUAAAUACACUUCUAAAAUUAGCCCCUGCGGAGGAAGCGGGGCGGGGCGGGGGGAGUGGGGGAUGGGGGACAGGGCGGGGCGGGGGCGGGGGAAUUUGUGGGUCCCCCGGCCCACCCCGCCCCGUUGUCAUCCCUAAGUUUAAGCUGAACUCCACCACAACGCCUCUCUUUAAGAGAUCAAAUAUUAUAUGGAAUUUUUUUUCCAGCAACAAUUUGGCAUAAAAAUGCUUUCAGAUAACAAUUUAGCAUAUAAAUGCAUGGUCGGCAAGAUUACAUAUAUAAAUUCGUAUGUAAAUAGUAUAUACACUAGUAUUUAUAUUUGAAUUCAAAACAAUACUUAUAUAGUAUAGUAUAGAAUAAAGUAUAUGAAAAAGGCAAAAAAGAUUUAUAAAAGUGUAUGUUUAACAUGUUAAAAAAAAUUUAUUUCGUAAAUACAAAAUGGACUUUCUUAAUUUUAAUAUCUUAAAUAAGUUGAAACCAAAUUUUGUUAACCUAUUGUUUUGUCAAUAUAUGAUAACAAUUUGAAUAAAAUAAUUUAAUUUAUAACCAUUUACAUAAUAGAGCAAUUGUAAACUUAUUUAUCAAUAUAUCAUGUUAUACCUAUAUAUCAAAAUUUUUAACAUUAAAAAUAUAAAGUAUAAUUAAUUCAUUUUCCUCAAUUUUAGAAAAUUAUUUCUCCCAUCUUGUAAUCCUAAAAUUGUUGAGUGCUCAUAGAAUAAUAUUCUUCAUAAACUUUAAUAUAGAUUUAAAAUAAUCUUAGUAAGCUGUAUUUUUAAAAUUUUCAAAAUUAUUAAAGACUAUCAUCCUUUCCAUUCUCUUUUACCUGCUAACUAGCUAUUUGCUGCAUUCUAUGACUUUCAGAUCUUUUAUCGCGGUGCCAUACUUCCUGUCAUAUCCCCACAAUCCCAUUCUUUCUUCUCCCCACUCUUCGUGCAAUGUUGUAAUAGUUCACUUUCCUUUUUUGAUUUUUCCUACCACUCUUUAACUCUUCGUUAUUGUUUUUCCCUCGUCUAUAGCUAGUAUCUACUUUUUUAUCAUUGCCACCCAAUUUCCUAUUAUUUGCCCUUCACCAAUCUCCCAAACCCUUUAAAUCCAUAAUUUGUUUUUUUAGGCUAGUAGUACUUUGUUUUUUAUUCAAUGAUUUCAUAAUUUAAGAUUCACUAAUGGUACCAUUAUUGAUAUUUUAAAUCCAUGACCAAUGACUAUUAUUUUCUUUUUGUUUUCUAUAUAAUUUGCCCUUUUAGUUAGGAUUACUAAGUUGAAGGGUAAAAUAUUGUUAUUUAAUUUUUUACUUUUAGUAGGGUUGGUGAUUUUUCCUCUUUAUUAACCCUCAUUAAUAGACUUCAAAUCAAAUACCUAUAUAAGGGGGUCACUUCUUACUUUUAAAUUCAAAAGACAUGAAUGGAUAUAUAACAAUUUAAAAAAUUCAAAAUUCUAUUAAAAAAAAGAAUGAGGAGUUGUAAGUACUCUGAUUUAACCAUUUUAAAAUCCCACUCUGCAAUACAUAUAGACAUAGAUAUUUAAAAGUUACAGAACUAAAAAUAUGGAAAAAUUUACUUUACAUUUCAAAGAUUGUGCUAUAUUUAUACGAAUUUUAAACUUACUUUGUGUAUGAUACAUUACAUUUAUUAAAAUUUUAUUACUUAAAUUUAUUAUAAUGUGUAUGAUACAUUAUUAUUAAAUUUACUUAAAUUUUGUGUAUGAUACAUUAAAUAUAUUAAAAUUUUAUUAUUUUGUUACUUAAAUAUGUAUAAUUUUCUAGUUAUUUAUGAUGUACACUGCUCUUAUUUUGUAUAUAAUUCAAAAGUAUGUCAUUAUCCUUAUUCAAAUUUUAAAUUUUUUCAAAAAUUGAAAUAUAAUUCAUGAAGUAUAAUACGUUAAAAGUUUAUUACAUGCUUUAUACGGUGAAUUGAAAGGUACAAGUGUUUUUUAGAAUAAUUUUAAAAUAAUAUAUAUGAACAUGUAUUAUAUAGGUAUAAUAUGAGUAUUUAUUAACUAUACUUAAGAAUGAUGUCCAUUAUGAUUAUAAUAUGAGAAGGGUAUGUUUAGUGUAUAUUUGGUUAUCCUGACGUACAAUACUAACUUUUAUUCAUCUAAAAAUACCCUUGGUUCGUCCACUUGUUCUUUGCAAUGCUAAAGUCAGAGAAGCAAUUUUCACGGGAAUCGUGAGUUUCGGAACAAUUGAACACAAUUUUGUAUGUUUGGAUACAGAAUAAUGCCAUUUACUCUUUGUUCUUUUUUACCGCAUAGUAUAAAAGUUCUAUGGUUCCAUCUGCAUAAGAAGGCAAAACGGUGAAGAGAACAUUCGAUAAAUUAAGCCAAAACUGUUUAGGUGCAAAAAUACAAUUUAAAAACAUCUAGGGGGUGCAAUGUUUUGUUGCUCGUAUUCUUUCCUUGAAUUUAUAAAUAAUUAUCUAGCUUCCUAUUUAUCUUUUUUAAUAGGGGAAAAUGUUAAGCUUUGUAUUUGCAUGAUUGGUUUUUUAUUUUACCAUAUACACCUGACUGUGAAAUUUGAAAUGUGAGUUGGAACUUUGUAUGUCCAAAUGAAGCUUUUAUUAAUUUGUCCUUCGUACCAAGUAGUUGGUCAUGUCUAACAUAAAAUUUUUCAUUAAGCGAGUACUUGCAAAUAAAUUAGAGAUAUAGUAAUUCUAAUCGGAUAAUAUUCUAAAUACUCUUUGCAUCCCCAGUAUUCGAAUAGGAUAAUAUUUCUCAAAAUAUUGUUAAAAAAAUUUUAAAAGAAAAUUGGAAAAAUAAGGGAGGUGGUGGAUCUUUUCUUCAUUUAGGGGUGCCGAUUUUGGCAAAAUCAACAAAAAUCGGCACCGCUUACAUGCAGCUACUAAACACCUUUCUUUAUUAUUUUUUUUUGAACUUUUUUAGAAAAAUUUUGGAAACUAAGGGCCGCAUGUACUGCAUGCAGCCCCCUAUUUUACAAUAGCCCUAAUUCCUUAUCUUGAGGGUGUGAAAUCAUUAAUCUUUCAAAUGUCGACAAACCCUUGAUUAACUUUUUCAUUUAGCCAUAUGAGAAGGCACCAAUUUUCCUACAUUUUUAAUACACUAUUCACUAGCAUUCUGACCAUGCAAUACACUGAUUUAUAUUUCAAUUCAAAACAAUACUUAUAUAUUAUAGUAAAGGAUAAAGUAUAGGGAAAAUGGCCAAUUUAGUCCCUAAACUUUUUCGUCCUUAUAUAUUAUUUGUAGCCAAUUUGAUCCUUAAACUUAUAUUUCAGUUCCAAUCAAAGAACUCAGUGGCAGAGCCACCGUAUAAUUUCCUUCAAACUCCUAAUUGAGCAACCCAAAGGGGUAUUUUAGGGAUUUCGAUGGUGGGGUUGUAACAAAAAUUAACCGACAGAUAAGUUUUGUGAGAAAUAUCCAAAACCCAAAACAAAAACAAAAAAUUUUUCAAAGCUGCCAAGCGGUGCUGGUGGGGUUAUGCUGUUUUUGUAUCUGGGAGGAAAUGAUUUCCAAGGUGUUUACCACCUUAUCUGUCUGAUUUGUGUCCAAGCUUGGUGGAGUUGGUGUUGUCCUGCAAUAAUUUGUCAGGUAAUGUCCCUGAAAGCUUUGGUGCAUGCCCUGUUUUGGAACUAUUUGAUAGCUCAAACAAUAAAUUUUCUGGUGAAUUACCUGUUGAUACCCUUGUGACGAUGAGUAACUCGAAGAAUUUGUCCUUGUUAUUCAAUAUUUUCAUUGUUUCUUUGCAUGAAUCUUUGUCCAAGAUGGUCAGUUUGGAGACUUUGGAUGUGAGUUCUAACAAUCUAUCUGAGGUGAUUCAUUUGGGAUUUGUCAGGACCCCAGGAACAAUUUGCAAGUGUUGUAUCUUCAGAAUAAUUUGCACACCGGUUCAAUACCAAAGAGUUUGAGUAAUUGUUUCAAGUUGGAAUCCCUUGAUCUCAGUUUUAACUUCUUGACUAGGACAAUCCCAUCUAGCUUGGGAUCAUAUCUCAGCUUCGUGAUUUGAUUGCUUCGUUAAAUCAGCUUUAUGGAGAAAUCCCACAAGGGCUAAUGUACUUGCUUAGAGAAUCUGAUUCUUGAUUUCAAUGAUCUGAAUGGAUCAACCCCUGCUAGUCUCAACAAUUGUACGAAUUUGAAUUAGAUUUCACUCUGAAAUAACCAGUUGAGUGGUCAAAUCUUGUGAGUCUUGGAAUAUUCCUGCAGAAUUAGAGGAUUGCCGUAGCUUGCUUUGGUUGGAUCUUAAUACCAAUUUUCUUAAUGGGACUAUCCCUCCCAGUCUAUCCAAACAAGUUGGCAAUAUUGCUGCUGCACGGCUUACAGGGAAGUGGUAUGUGUACAUCAAGAAUGAUGGAAGCAAGCCGUGCCAUGGAGCAGGGAAUUUGCUAGAAUUUUAAGCAGUGCCAUGGAGCAUGGAAGCAACCCCACCAGCACCGCUUGGCAGCUUUGAAAAAUUUUUUGUUUUUGUUUUGAGUUUUGGGUAUUUCUCACAAAACUUAUCUGUUUGUUAAUUUAGCCCCAUCAUCGAAAUCCUUAAAAUACCCUUUUUGGGUUGCUCAAUUAGGAGUUUGAAGGAAAUUAUGCGGUGGCUCCGCCGCUGAGUUCCUUGAUUGGAACUGGAAUAUAAGUUUAAGGAUCAAAUUGGCUACAAAUAAUAUAUAAGGUCGAAAUCGACAAGAAAAAAAAAGUUUAGGGACUAAAUUGGCCAUUUUUCCCAAAGCAUAUGCAAAAGAGGAAAAAAAUUUCAAAGAAGUGUAUGCUUAACAUGUUUAAAACAAGUUUAUUUCGUAAAUACAAAAUGGACUUUCCUAAUUUUAAUAUCUUAAAUAAGUUGAAACCAAAUUUUGUUAACCUAUUGUUUUAUCAAUAUAUGAUAUCAAUAUAUAAUCAAUAUAGGAUAAUAUUUCUCAAAAUAUUGUUAAAAAAAAUUUUAAAAAAUCGGAAAAAUAAGGGAAGUGGUGGAUCUUUUCUUCAUUUAGUGGUGCCGAUUUUGGCAAAAUCAGCAAAUAUCGGCACCGCUUGCAUGCAGCUACUAAACACCUUUUUUAUUAUUUUUUUUGAACUUUUUUAGAAAUGUUAUUUUUUAAAAAAAAUUGGAAGUUAAGGGCCGCAUGUACUGCAUGAGCCCCCUAUUUUACAAUAGCCCCCCAUUUGUUGGAAAAAAUUGAAAAUAUGUGUAAGCGUUUGAAUGUGGUCAAAAAAUGUAGGUAUGUGAAACAUAUAUAUAUAUAUAUAUAUAUGUAUGUAUGUAUAUGUAUAUGCAUGAAAGGACAUGUAGCACUCAUGAUGUCGAUUCUGCAGAUGAAGAAAAGAUCCACUACUUUUCUUAUUUUUAUCAAUUUUUUUAACAAUAUUCUAAGAAAUUAGUCUAAUUCCUUAUCUUGAGGGUGUGAAAUCAUUAAUCUUUCAAAUGUCGACAAACCCUUGAUUAACUUCUUCAUUUAGCCAUUUGAGAAGGCACAACUUUUCCUACAUUCCAGCACGCUAUUCACUACCAUUCUGACCCGUGUAAGAUACGGAUUGUAUUUCAAUUCAAAACAAAACUUAUAUAUUAUAGUAUAAGAUAUAGUCUAUGAAAAAGGCAAAAAAAAAAAAAAAAAUCAAAGAAGUGCAUGUUUAACAUGUUAAAAAAAAUUUAUUUUGUAAAUACAAAACAGACUUUCUUAAUUUUAAUAUCUUAAAUAAGUUGAAACCAAUUUUUGUUAACCUAUUAUUUUGUCAAUAUAUGAUAACAAUUUGAAUAAAAUAAUUUAAUUUAUAAUGAUUUACAUGAUAGAGCCAUUGUAAACUUAUUUAUCAAUAUAUCAUGUUAAACCUAUUUAUCAAAAAUUUUAACUUAAAAAAAAUGAAGUAUAACUAAUUCAUUUUCCUCAAUUUUAGAAAAUUAUUUCUUCCAUCUUGUAAUCCUAAAAUUGUUGAGUGCUUAUAGAAUAAUAUUCUUCAUAAAGUUUAAUAUAGAUUUAAAAUAAUCUUUGUAAGAUGUAUUUGUAUAAUUUUCAAAAUUAUUAAAAACUAUCAUCCUUUUCAUCCUCUUUUACCUGCUAACUGACUAUCCGCUGCCUUCUAUGACUUUCAAACCUUUUAUCACAGUGUCAUUCUUUCUGUCAUAUUCCCACAAUUCCAUCCUUUCCUCUCCCCUUUCUUCUCCCAUCUUAUAAUAGUUCACCUUCUUUUUUCAAUUUUUUCCACCACUCUUUAACUCCUCGUUAUUAUCUUCCCUAGCAUAUAGCUAGCCUCUAGUUUUCUAUCAUUGCCACCCAAUUUCCUAUUAUUUUCCCUUCACCAUUCUCCCAAACCCUUUAAAUCCAUAAUUUGGUUUUUUAGACUAAUAGUACUUUGUUUUUAUUCAGUGAGUUCAUAAUUUAGGAUUCACAAAUAAUACCAUUAUUGAUAUUUUAAAUCCAAAACCAAUGAAUAUUAGUUUCCUUUUGUUUUCUAUAUAAUUUGCCCUUUUAGUUAGGAUUACUAAGGCUCCGUUUGAUAAAACUGAAUCUGAAUUCUGAAUUCUGAAUUCUGAAUGCUGAAUACUGAAACAAUUAAUUUGCUGAAUAUUAAGCACUGAAAAAAGAUAUAUGAAUAUCUGAAUCUUAAUGCUGAACAUAUUUAUACUGUUUGAUAAACAUUUAUAACUUAAUGCUUAAUAAGCUAAAUUGUACAAUUUUGCCCUUCUAUCUUUUAAUCCAAAAAGGAAAUGGAACCUAUGAUUUAAUUAGCUUAAAAUUGUUAGGUAUGAAAAUGACAAUAUUUAUUUUUAAAUCAAAGUAAUAUAAAAGAAUAAAUAUAUUAUGAAAAAGUCCAAAUAUCGGUGCAAAUAUUUUUUUAAAUCAGAGUUUGAUAAGAAAAGUCCAAAUAUAAGCAAAAGGAAGCUGCAAUAAACAAGUUUUAAAUUCAUACCAAAUUAUUUAGAAAUUUAAUUACUUCAAUGGAAAAAUGUUGAAGCAAAACAACAAAUAAUCAAUGUCACUUACCUUGGAAAUAAUGAAUUUGAGAUCGGUGAGUACGGUAGCAAUAAAAAAAAUUGGGAGGAAAAAAAUGACAAAAUUAUGAAAGAGUAGAAAGAUGGAAAAAAAAUAAGGAGUACACAGAUGUGAGGAGCAUGGAGAAAUUGUAAAAAAGUCAUUAAAUAGGGAAAAAAUAGAAGUAGAAAGCCAUUAGACAGAGAAUGGCAUGUUGUUUAAUUAGAUAAGGAUUUUGGAUAGAAAAUAUUAGGUUGUUUAAUUAGAUAAGGAUUUUGAAUGUAAUUAACAAACAAGGAUAGAUUUGGUAGAUAAAAUAAAGUAAUUGAAGUAAAUCUCUUGAUUCUUAUCAAAUUAAGCAUUCAGUUACGAUUCUUGUGCUGAAAAAAAUACAUACAAAUUCAGCACCACUUAAUAAGUUCAGCAGAAAAAUUUUUAUUUAUCAAACACCCAAAACAUCUGAAUGUCUGAAUGAAUUCAGUUUCAGCACUUUUUUAUGUUAUCAAACAGACACUAAGUUGAAAAGUAAAAUAUUAUUUUUUACUUUUUUACUUUUAGUAUGGUUGGUAAUUUUUCCUCUUUAUUUACCCUCACAUUGAUAGAUUUCAAAUCAAAUUCCUAUAUAAGUAGACCACUUCUUACUUUUAAAUUCAAAAGGCAUAAAAGAAUAAAUAACAAUUUAAAAUUCAAAAUUCUAUAUAUAAAAAAGAAAGAAUGAGGAGUUACAAACAUUCUGAUUUAACCAUCAUAAAAAUCCUCCCAACAAUACAUAUAGACACAGAUGACUUAAAAUUUUGAAUUUGUUUAGUCAAAUUUUAGAUUCAUCCAAAAUCAUCUCUUCCGGACAAAAUGGUCACAUGAUUCCGUCCAGCCUUGCGUUAAAUUUCUGCUUAAUCAUCCAACCAAUAGUUGUUUUGACUGGUUGUCCAAACGGUCUAAUUCUUUGGGAUAGUCUUUUUUUUUUUGUUGCAACAAACGACCAAAAGUUUAGUCAAGUAUGGGUGCUUUACUGCUUUAGUCAGACGUACUUGUCAAAUUGGAUAUUUCUACGAAAUAAUUAAAUAUUAUGAAUGUAUAUCACAUUUAUCUCAUCCUCUAAAUAGUAAUAAACUGUUCAGGGGUGGAUUUACACUGGGACACUGAGGGCCCCCUUAAAUUUCUAUAAUACCCAUUAAAAUUUGAUGUAAUUUUGAGUGUGCCCUCGAAGUUUUGUGUAUUCAUUAAUUUAUAUACUCCUAAAGUUGUUUUUUAUUUUACAUGUUAUUACAGCUACCAUAAAAAGAGAUUUUUCAGUUAUGAAUAUAGUGAAAAAUUGGUUACGAAAUAGAAUGGAAAACACUUGGAUGAAUGAUUGUUUAGUUACUUUUAUUGAGAAAAAUAUAUUUCGUGAAGUUCAAAAUGAAAAGAUUGUAAACCGUUAUCAAAAUAUAAAAACUCGUCAUGAACAAUCGUAAAUGGUUUAACUUGCUUUUUGAAAUAAAAUUAUUAUUACAUUAAUAUCUUUGAAUUCGUCUUUUUAUGUUUUUCAUGGAAUAUAUGCAUCAUUUGUACUUGUUGGUGAAAAUUUUUUUUCUUAAAAAACUAGAAAAAGAGAGUGUAAAAACUUUUAGAAUUAUUUUUGCCCCCGCUGAAAAUUUUUUCUGGCUCCGCCACUGAAACUGUUCACGUUUUUAAAGUUCAUGACUUUUAAGGUGAUAAAAAUUAUUUGACUUUUAAUAAAGCUAUCACGACUUUUAAUAAAAUUGGCAUGACUAUGAAUAAAACGAUGAGGACUUACAAGAUAAUGUUAUUACCAUUUUGAAGAUGUUUUUGAUGUACUUUGAAUUCCCUUGUAAAUAAGGAUAAACCCUCUUGUAUCAAAGUAAUAGAAAGUUAAAAUUUCAUAAGAAUAGUUCUUUUGUUACCUUUUUUGUCUCCUGAACUGUUUAAAUUUUUUUGUUUUUCUUAACAUACUAUUCACAUCAUAAAUAACUCAAAUCCUAUAUCAAAUUAGUCUUAAUUUUAUGAACAUUCUUUAUUUCUUUUUGUCAUAUUGAACAUUCCUGACAUUUUCUUACGAAAGUAAGAAUUCGACAAAUAAACCUAGAUUCCCGAGCAAUCUUCAAAAGUCGGCAACUUUUGAAGACGCUCAGGAGACUUAUCUACCCAAACCCAUCCCCCAAGACCGAUGUUGGACAUUCACUUGCCUCGAUUCCGUCUACUUUCAAGUUUCAAGUUUCAUCCCCUCGGCCAGAGAGCCUGACUAAUUUGUAACCACGUCAAUAACAAAGGGAUCGACAAAUGGUAGGUGCAGUCCUAACAGAGCGUCGUAUCCGCUGAAGGAUUAGGCUCAUCGUGAGUUUCCGUGUCGUAGUUGUGGGUCGCGCAGCAAACUUUUCUCGAAGAUCUGUUUUUUUUUCGUCGGUACGAAAGAUAAUACAUUAAAUUAAAUAGAGUUUCUAGAACUAAAUUCCAUUAAAUUAAUCAUUAUGUUACAUUAAAUUAAACAAAGGAUUGGGCUCUUCGCAACCGUUUGCGUGUCGUAGUUGUGAAGCUCGCAAGAGAUUCUUCCCCAACAUCAUUUUUUAUCGGUACGAAAGAUAAUCAUUACAUUAAAUUAAAUAGAGUUUCUAAAACUUAAUUAAAUUAAAUUCAUCACUAGAAUUUUGUACAUGCGUUAGCAUGAUCUUUUUUGAUUUAUUGCAAAUUUAUAUAAAUAUAAAUAAUUUAAAUACAAAAAAUAACAAAAAUCCUACAUGUUCAUCUAUAUUAACUUUAAAACAUUAAUGUGUUCUAAAUUUUCAAUUAUUUACGAACUUUUAAAAAUGUGUUAUUAUAUGAUAUUAUACAUCAAAUCAUGUACCUUAUAUCCAAAUUUUGGUAGAUAUUCUUUCUUUUUACAAAUAUUCUUUUUGAUAAUAUAGAUUUUUAUAAUGACCAUAAAUCUAGAACUAUAUAUUCAUAUUUAAUUAAGUAGAAAAAUCCAGCAGUUCAUUUUUCUCCAUCAAUAAAUAUUUAGUUUCCAACAAUAUUAGUAAAUCUGUCGGUAUAACAGGUAAUUCUUUUUUUUUUUUACACUAAGUUAAUUUAAAAUUAAGGGAAUAAAUGAUGAUCAAUCUGAAUACUAAUCAAAGAUACGGUUGUAAAAGAAAGUAAUUUGAGAUAUAUAAGAUUUCAAUAAUUGUGAUUAAAGAAGUAAUUUGGGAUAUGUAAAAUUUUAAUAAUUGUGAAUUGAGGUUUUACUAUAGUUCUAUAUGUAAUAAUUUGAUAGAAAGCAAAAUCAUUAAGAUAAGGUUGGUGUUUUUUAAAACAGUAUCUUUAAGAUAAGAUUAUUUAUUUUUCAAAGUUAUUUUAAAAUUAGAGAUAAUUUUUAAACUUAUAAUAUAAUCCAAUUAGAAUUUAAUAUGGGUAAAAUUCAAGUGACCCAUAAUUCAUUAAUUUUUUUCAAUUAAACAUGCCACGUAGGAAUGAGAAACAACUCUAAUUAAAAUAACUACUUUCAUAUAUAUAUAUAUACAUUACAUUACAUUAAAUUAAACAAAGGAUUGGACGCUUCAUAAUCGUUUGCGCGUCGUAGUUGUGGGUCUCGCAAUAGAAUUUUCCCCAAAAUCAUAUUUUUAUCGGUACGAAAGAUAAUAUCUACAACUAAAUUGAAUUAAUUAAUCAUUACAUUACAUUACGUGUGGUAGUUGUGGGUCCGCAAUAUCCUUGCAAUCUUUGAUGAAAGAUAAUCAUUACAUUAAAUUAAACAGACUUUUCUAGAGACGUCCUUGCAAUCGUUUUCAACAAAUUUAUAAAUGCUCAUAGGCUUACAAGAAAACAAGUCUUCUUUCAACCGUCAGCUUUCCUAAAGGACCUAAACACGUGCUUAAGACUAGUUGUUGCCUUGUUGGAAAGCUGUGGAAGAUGCUCUUGCAAUCAUCUUGACAAUCCUGCCAAUCCCAUCCCUUCAAGUCCAUAUUGCGCUCUUCCUUCAAAUCAUAUUAUACAAAUGCGAACACCACGUAGCGGUGCUGCGUGUGCCUUUGGCGGUUUACCCCAAAGUUGCUUUGAUAAAAUUUACGAAUGCACGGGCCUACUUUUUUAUUUUCCUAAUCUUUAUAAAAGCAAUCAUAAUUAAUGGAUAGCUGUGUUUGGAUAUAAAAUUAUUUGAAAUAUUAUUUGACUUGCGUUGUUAUGGAUACAUUUUUCAAUAAUUUUUUUAUAUUUUUUUUAUCUUUAUAUAUAUAUAUAUAUUCCAUUCAUUUCAAUUAUUUAGUCAUGUUUAGAGAAUCCAAUAUUUUAAGAAUAGUGAUUUAAUUGUGAUGUUUGUACUUUUCUUUUCAAAUUUACCAUGAUAAAUUUAAAUUUUAAAUUUGAAUAGUAACAUGCAUAUGGUCAGAAAGAAGGGUUAUAUUAAAAAAAAGACUAAAAUGUGCUUUAACUUCUGCAAUAUGAUAAAUAUUUUAAAACAUUUUAAAAUUAAAAGUAUGACACUUUCAAUGGAAUCGAAGGAGUAUAAAUUAUAUUACAAAAGCGAUGCCAUAUCUAUAUCUAUAUGUAUUGCAUAAGGGGUUUUUAGCAAGAAGCCUCUCAAUGACUUCCAAACUUCUCAUUCUUUUUUUCUAGAUUUUUGUAUUUAUUUUAAUACAUAAAAUCUAAUUAAAACUUUAAAAUAAUGGGUUAUAACUAAUCCUAUUACUAGUCAAAUUUAAAAUUUAAAACUUUCCCACUAUCUCCUUCAUAAACCGUUUAUAGUUUAUUAUUUAUACUUUAAGUCCUUUUUACUCCUUAAUUAAAUAAAAUACAUUUGUCAAGCCAAAAUUUUCAGGGAUAAUUGAUUAGUCUCAUUUUAAAAUUAUUUACCCUAUUAUAUCUUUAUCACUUUAGUCCCAUUUAUUCCUUCAUUAAAGAGGAUUAAUUUAUCUAGCCAAAUCCUCGAGAUAAUGUGAUUAGUCCUAUUUUUUUAGUUAUUCACCCAAUGAUUUCUUUAUCACUUUCCUUCUGGAUACAAUAAUCAUUUAUCAAAAUCUUCUAAUGAUAUAUUCAAUUACUCUUAUUUUUUAAUAAUUUAUGUUACAAUUACUAAAUCAAUUUUCUUGCAGUCUUAAACUUAUCCUUUUUUUUUUUUGUAUUUAGCAAGCUUAAGGCAAUUUAAUAGGUUUGAUUUUUAUAAUUUUCAUGUUGGAUUUUAUUCAAUAGGUUUGUAUUUUUAAAGUUUUAAAAUUUGAAUGUUGAAAUUAUACUCUAACAUUAAAUUUGAGUAUGAAAAUAACAAUUAUGACAUUUUAUUUGCACUUAGAAUAAAUUCAAUAUUAAUAUCGUGCAAGCAUCUAGAUGACUUUUCAUUUAGCACAUGUACACCAAAAAGUUCAUGUAAAGAAAAAUUUAUGUAUGAAUUUUAAAUUAAUAAAGGUGUAUUUAGAAGGUUGCUUUUGGUGGUAAUUUAGCAAAAUUUUGAUAAAAAGAUUGUAUUUCACCAAAUUUACAUCCGAAAGUUUACUUUUUCUCGAUGAUUGCAAUUCUAGCUUUUUAUUUGAUUAAAAACACUUAAAAAUGAGGCAGCAACUUGGAAAAAUAAUUCUAACUUUUUAUAUGUCCAAAAACACUUAAAAAGUGAGAUAAUGAAUCCUAAAUAAUGAAAGGAUUAAAAAGAUAGGACUGUAGAGUUAGGAAAGGUAAAUUUUAGGGAAGAGUUAUCAAAUUAGAUGAUUCAUGUGAGUUUGGGUACGUUAUAAUUAGGUUAACCUAUAUAUUCCUACUUAGUUAAUGGUUCAAAAUAGACGAGUCAUCAAUGAAUAUAGUUUUAUAUGAGUUUGAAUUAUCCAAUCACCCAUUCACAUCCCACUGCUAAAUUUUAUUUACUUUUUCAUCCACAUUUUGUUUAGCAACAAAAUAGUAAAUCAUAUCAACAUAUCAAGUCAAUAAAUCAAUUUUUACCUAAAGAAAGAGAAAAAAACAUAAAAAAUUGCUUAAAUUAGCCUAAAAUGGUAAUCCUAGUGAGUUUCAAAUUUUGUCACUUUACGACAAUCUAAAAAUAAUUUAGGUAUUAAUGCAAACAAUCAAUUAACAUUCACGAAAUUUAUUAAACUUUUAUGAAAGGAAUGGAGGAAGUAGGAUAAAUUUUAAAAAAAUAAAAUAAUAGAAAUUAAAGAAGAGGAAAACGAUGAAUACAUCUUUGCAAAUUUUAGAAUAUAAUUAUUAGAGUAAUUUAGAUUUACCCACUAAUGAUUGAUUUGAAUCUACGUCUAAUUUAAUUAAGUCAAAAUAAGUGAUCCAAAUCUGUCAAUUUCAUACCCACUAAUUAAUGAGUUAAUUUGGUCACCCAUUUGAAUCCAAUUAAAUUACAUACGCAAACUCAUUUGUUAAUAGGCGAACCAAGUAAAUAGGUUACCAUUUACAUUUAUAAAUAGAUGAAAAUAAUAGUAGAAUAGGAGACAAGUGACGUGUAAAACUGGGUAAGAGAUAGGAUCAUUGGGUGGGAGCGAGAUAGAGCAAAGGGAAAAUAGGAUUUGGUGAAACGAGAAAGGGUUGUAGAGAUACAAGAAAAUUGAGUAGGAAAUGAAGGAACGAAAAAAGGUUAUAAGGAUACGAGAAAGUUAGAUUCAGAAAGUGAAAAGAAGAGUAGGAGAAAUAUUGAAAAGAGAGGAGAUUGAGAGGUGAAAAAAGUGAUACGAAGGGAGAGAAUAUAAGAUAAAUGGAUAAUAAUGUCGUGUUUGACCAUAUUUUUCCGCCCGUGCAUAGCAUUGGUUAAAAUACUAGUUUUAUCGUAUGAUUGAUUGUCUUAAUCAUGAAACAAUACCUAAAAGAAAUGUUGAUUUCGUAAUUUGUCAGCCUGGAGUAGAACAACUUCUUUUUUUUUUUCCAACUAAAGCGGCAAAAUUUUAGUGGGGUAAAUUAUGACUAUCCCCAGCGUCGUGUCCAUCAAAAUCAAAUAUGAGGUGUGGCCGAAUAGAUUUUUUAUUCUUUUAUUUGUUUAUAUCAACUUGCUGGAAUCCCCGUACACAUAUUGCUUUGGUGUUUAUGGGGAAAGAGAGAAUAAAAAACAGUGUCAGAGUUUUGGGAGCACCACAUGCGUUGUCUUGUGCCGUCCAGAAUUAAGCUACGUGUCGUGCUUAAAUGGGACCAGAUUGACGUUCCUACGGUGGGAAGGCCCAUACCAUUCUUACUAUAUACAACUAGUAUGAAUAUCCGUGCUAGCACGGUACUGAUAUUAUUAAAAAAAAUAAAAAUAAUAUGAUAAAUAAAAAAAGAUUAAAAAAUUAUACCAACAUAAUUAAAAUGUAAUAUUUGUCUAACAAUAGUUUGAAAUAUGAUAGAAUGUGUAUAUCAUUUAAGAACUGCCUUUUUUCGAAAAAUAGAUCCUGAAAAAAUAAUAGAAAUUUAUAUUAGAAAAUGAAUGAUAUAUGAAUAAAAAUAAAUGUAGUUGAAUAUUGUUAAAAUGAAAUACUUACAAAUAUUAUGUAUUCGAUUUGAUAAUCUUGCAUGAAGGUGCGAACACUCUUCACACCAAUCAACUUUUAGUACGAAAGUCAAAAUUGGUGAUUUAAUUAAUUCUGUUGAAUUUUGUGGAGUGCGUACUACAAAUAAAAAUGAACGAUCUUUGCAUGAAUUGAUUGUUGGUUGAACAACCUAUCACCAUUUUCCUGAGAAUUAAGUACGUACGAAAUUCAAAAUUAGUGUAUUUUUUACAUAGUUUAUAAAUAGCAUUAUAAAAAAUAAAUAUAUAUCAAGAAAUUCUACUUUCCUUUGUAAUUUUCUGAGAUAAGAAACAUCACAAUCAAAUACGAAUCAUGCAUGUCUGUAUUGUAAAUUAAGAUGUAUGUUACCACUGGAAUCUCUGAUUUAUAUGUUAACAUUGUACCUAUUUGACAAAUAAAAUGUUAUAUACAAUACAAAAAAAUAUGUUGAAAUUAAAAGUACAUGAAUUAAUUAUCUAACAAUAGUGUCGACCACGUCAUUACAAUACAGACCAAAGUGACAAAGAAUUAGAUAAUGGCAAUCUUUUUGUGAUAAAAAACACUAACUCUUUUGGCCUAAAGGUACAGAAACUGUCAUCAUGACAAUAUCAAAUACUAUACAUAAUUAUCGAACUCCAAGAAUCCAAACUAAGCCGCAAACAAUUUGAAGGUGUAAAUUUUUAUCGUAACAAAUUUCUCAUAUCAAAUUCCAUCAUUUUUGUAUCUGGAGGGAACUUGGUUCCAUCAAAAGUCAAAUACCAAUACUUGUGCCAUAGGGAAAAGAUGACAUAAAAACAGUGAUGGACAUCUAUUACUCUGACCAUAAAAUAAAUUUUUAUGCUUACUGUUGCGUAAGUUGUUAUUAAAUCAUGAGAAAAUAAGUCUAAAAUGAUGACCUAUUACCUAACAUUUCACUUCUAUUUAAAGACGAAAGACAAUAAUAGCAAUAAUCAAUCGAAAAUAUUACAUUAUUGGGAAUAAUAUUUAAAAAAAUAAUGGAAAUGCAAAUGUUUAAAGAAUAAACAAUACCAGAAUUUCUAAUUUGAUGCGAACGAUGUUUUAAUCGGUGUAGUUGAGAUUUUGUCCUUCGAAUUUGAUGUGAAAUUUCUCUUUAGUCAACGCAAAGUUGCUAAAACUUUUCGAACUGCCAUGUGGAAUUGUUGCAGUGUACAUUUCGUUUUCUAAUCAAAUGUUUCCUCCUUGGCAAUCUUGCGAGUUUGAAAUUUAGAUGUCGUUGAAAUGCUUGUAGGCGGACAUGUUCCAUAGUGAAAUUAGGUUAAGGCUAAGAUGGAUACCAUAAAAAGGUUGAAGGAGAUAAUAAGUUCUUGGGAAAAAUGCAAGAAAGUUCUCUUAAUUGGAGUGAGUAUGCAAGAAAGUUGAAUGAGGAUAUUAUGUUUUGGAGGACUUUUAAUUGGAGUGAAAUUCUUAAAUUGGAGGACUCUUAAUUGGAGUGGGAAAGUGGGAAAAAUGUAGGAAAAACUUGAGCAUGAUUAUAGGAUUUUUAGGAGCAGUUAUAGGAUUAGUUAAGAGAUAAACAUUUCUCCAAUUGGAAGACUCUUAAUUGGAGUGAGAAACGUGGGGGAAAUGUGGGGAAAAUGUGAGCAUGAUUAUAGGAUUUGUAGUAUACUCAAUAACUUGAUAAUAUACUCAAAUCACCGAUGAGAUAAAGUUUGCCUGAAUAAGCUUUACAAUGUCCUAAUUCCUUGUAAAAAAAAACGCUAAAUAGUCCUAAUAGUCAUUGCAAGUUACGGUAACGUGCCAGUGGCAUCUAGUCCUAAUUUUUUUUGGGGGUCAAAAUUUAGUCCUAAUUGGUUCUGCUGUUUCUUGAUCAUGUUGUAUGCUUCCGAAUUCUACUUAGCGUGUAAUAAUUGAUAAUGGCUUAUUAUAUUCUUUCAUGGUAUUGGACAAACAAAAACUACACCAGAAAUGUGGUAAAUUUACUAUAAACUCCUAAUAUUAUCUCCCCUAAUUUUUGCAUAUUUUUAAAAAAAUUUAAACUUUUGUCAACAAUAGACUGGUCACGCAAAUAAAAAAAAAAAGGUCUGGUCAUACAUCUCAUUCUUUGCCCUAAAGAACUCAAAUUAGCAAAUUUCUUAGAAUAAUGGUGAAAAAAAUCAUAACAAUGGAGGAACCUGGGUUUAUUUUUUUUUGGGAUCUGAAACAACCCUAUUCAUUUUUAAAAAAUAAAUAAAUUGGCCAUCUUACGUUCAUUAAGAAAGGGAAAAUUUUUUGGUCACUGCACAUGGAUGUCAGGCCUUCCUAAAGGGAAAAAAAAACAAUUGUUCCGUUCUUGCGAUUUUUUAUAGGGUUAAAUAUAGUAAACCCCUUAACUUUACAUUUAGUCACACUUUACCCCCUCAACUUUACAUUUAGUUGCACAUUUGUGAUUUUUUUGAAACGUGAUUGUAAUUUGCAAAGCUCAUUUGUAGGGGUGGUUAUAGGAUUAGUUUAGUGAUAAAUAUUUCUUAAUUAUAAAUAUGUAAAAUUGUAUUAAAAUAGCAUACGAAUGAGCAUUUGUCUUUAAUUAAGGAGUAAAAAGGAUUUAAAGAAUAAAAAAUAAACUAUAAACGGUUUAUGAAGUAGAUAGUAGGAAAGUUUUAAAUUUUAAAUUUGACUGGUGAUAGGUUUGGUUAUAACCCACUACUUUUUAUGUAUUAAAAUAAAUACAAAAAUCUAAAAAAAAGAAUGGGAAGUUUGGAAGCCAUUGAGAGGCUCUCUUUUAAAAACCCACUCUGCAAUACAUAUAGAUUCCAUGAUAAAGAGGGCCAGGACAUAGAAAAUCCCCCUCCAUACCAUUGUUAUUGCCAUUCUUUCUUUGUUGGAUUGUUCCGAAUUAUUUGUCAUUUAUAUAAAUUAGUUGUUAUAUUUCUAUUUAAUUUCUUCAUUUAGUCAUUUACUUCUCAGACACUCCGUAAAAGUUCAGUGCAUGUAUCUUUUUAUGAGUCCGAAACUAAAGCAACAACUUUUGUAGUAUAACAGUUAUCAAAUAAUUAAGACCACAACAAUCUAAAAUUUGGUAAAACUUUCAAAUAUCUAAAAGAUUUUCAACAAAACCUAGGAUUGAACAAAUAUCAUGGUCCCGCAAUUAUUUAUGAGCUACAAACUACACAUCAAGUUUCAAAUUCUAUCCACUAUUAAUAAAAAUUGCAAUUCUUGAAGUGCGACAAACUUUACAAGAUGGAAGGAAGGAGUAAUACUUAUCGUGCAUAUGCGCGCGCGCGCACACACACACAUAUAUAUUGUUUCUUGGCUUGAUUUGUCCUCGUAAAUAAGAUCAUUGUAUUGAUUUAGUGAAGAAAAACAAUUAGUCGAAGCUCAAACUGCAACUAUUAUAAAAUCUUCAACAAUUACAAUAGUGUCAAGAAAGACACCACUUUAAAUGUUAUUAUUAGGAUACUUGCAAUAUUACAAUGUAGUGAAACUCAGCUGGAAGGUAAAAUUACAAUAUGACAGUAAAUUACUGCAACAUAAAUACGCUUAUGAAAGUACAAGCUUUAUUCGUGCAUGCCCGGUUUAAAAUCUAUUUGUUCUCUGAAAUCUCAAUAUGCAAUCCCUUGGGGAAACGAAUACCAGUAGGUGUCCGGAUUCUCUCUGCUCCGUUGAUAACUCUCCAGCUGAAAAUUCAAAUUAGACGAGCUUUUUGAUCAGUUAUCACUUUCUUCUUGCAAUCAUGCAUAUUAAAAAACCGAAGAAGUUAAGUGGACAUCAAUUUAUAAUAUAUUGGAAUUAGCUUCUUCUAUAUGUAUUUAAGCGAAGAUGGUGGGAAUUGUGAUUUGGAAAUCCUUACGUGUAUUUUGUGACCAAGUAAUGCAGAAAAAUUGACAUCUGCACCUUUGCAUAGUCAGCACCAACACAAAGCCUCGUACCACCAGCAAAUGCCAUGAAACUUUUGGAUCCCGCAUGUAAUUCUUUGCCCUUUUGAUUGAAAAAAAACAGCAGAAAAAACCUGAAUUAUUUUUACUUGAUUUUAUUUAACUUUUGUUCUGUAAGUUUAUGUUUCUUGUGCGUAAAUUACUCAAAUUUGUCGAUGAUCAAAUUACCUCCCAUCGCCAUGGGUUAAAUUCAAGGGGGUCUUCAUAUAGAUUAGGAUCCAAAUGAACAGAUGGUGGACAAACCAUUAUCGUCCAGCCAGCAGGAAUUGUAUAACCUACAAAUCAUUCGCACUUGUUAGUCGAAACUGUAAGUUAUAAUGGAGGAAAAGAAGAACAGAGGAAGCAAAUCAUUUAUUUUCUGUAUAUUUACUCCCAUGAAAAAAUGCCCAACCCAAGUAGUUACUAAAGAGAGUUUUUCUUUUUUUUUUUCUUUUUUCUGCAGGAGAAAGGCAUCAUCGGUCCAAAAUAAAGAAAGUGUGACAAAUGAUUUUCAAGAAGAUGCCAAGUGACAUAUUGAAUUAUACCUUUUACUUCAACUUCCUUGACAACUUUGCGCAAAAUCCCAGGGGCAAUAUUUGCAAGCCUAACUGUUUCAUUUAUAACCUACAGCAGACAACAAAACUUAAGAUGUAAAUGGUCUAGCUCACUAUAUGAUUCAAAUGAUAGAUACAAUGAAAUGUCUGGUUAAUUGAAACAUACCAUGUGCGUGAAAGUCAUAGACUUGUACUCUUUCCAUGAAACAGCAGAACCUUCUAUUUCUCGAAUUUUAAGAAUAUUUUCAUGCUCUCUCUACAAAAACGAUUGACUGUUUAAGUAUGAAGUAAUCUUACAUAUUCUGUUAGUGUAAACAUCCAAUCAUAACAAUGUAUACUGUCAGUAUAUAUAGAAUAUUAAUCAUUUAAGUAUUGAACUUGCACAAGAAUUGGAGGAUUAAAGGGUAAAUACAGAUGACAACGCGAGAAAUUGUUUCGGAAAGUCACGGACCUUUAGUUCAGCCAUAACACGUGGAUUGCCAUCUAGAUACCUCAAGGCCACAGUCAAAGCAGUUGAAGUCGUUUCAUGGGCAGCAAAUAGAAACAAAAAUACCAGGUCCCUCGCAAUUUCUUCAUUCAAAAAAGUGUCUUCUUUCUUUAUUUCCUCGAGUAAAUGGUCCGCAAAAUCAUAGUCAUUCGUAGCGCCAUUAUUGCCUGAGCGCUUCUUCUCAAGGAUGUCGUGGAUGACCUUCAUUGCUUUCUUACGUCCCUGGAAAAUGAAAAUCAUAUCGUUCGUUCAUUCUGAUACAGCAUAUAUGAAAGCAUAUAUAUUUUACUUAGUCAUAUAUUUAUAAUCAAUAUGGUUUUUUUCUUGUAGGUAUAGUGAACAUCGAUCUUUCAAUAUAAAAAGAAUUCCAAAUGACGAACAACAACAAUAACAAUUGAUUACUUGUAAGCAAGCAUGGAACGGUGUUCCAGGGAUGUUGAGAGGAAAUGAGAUCAAGCCAUCCAUGAAUGCCUUAUAACUGUCUCUCAGUUUUUGCUGAUCCUUGCUUUCUUCAUAGCCAAGCAUCUUCCUGGCAGCAUAUUUAAAUACCAACUGGAGAAAAUGAGAUUGUUAAUUACUACUUUUCAGCAAUGCUCUGUACGUAUAGUCCGAAUUCAUCCUGAUUAAUAUAAUCAAAUAGUAGGAUGCUAAUGAAUUUACCUCUGCAGUUCCAUCUUUAGCAUCUAAUUUUCCAAGUUUACUCCAAGAUCUUAGAGAUUCUUGAGUGCUCUCAUCCAUUUCAUAUAUUAGCUUCUCUCUUAAGGCUUCGGGGCUAACAAACUUGAACGUUAAGCUCUUGAGGUACUUGUGGAAGUCUCCAUGAUGGGCAACUACACUUUGUUUCCCAAUUAUCUGGAAGAGACUCUGAGUAUACCAAAUUUGGAAAGCAUUACCUUCUUGCUGGAAGACCCGGUAGUUGACGUCAGCAUCAGUCGAUACAAUGAUUGGCUCCCCAACUAUACUCGUGCGAAAAAUUGGCCCGUACCUGAAAAUUCCCAAAAAAAAAAAAAAGAAACAAAGAAAAGCUAGUUAAGAUAAAAUAUCCUUAACUGUUACUGCUGUAAUAUUGUUAAAAUUUAUAUGUGAUAGCUGGUUAAGAAGUGGUUAGACAACCACUGGAGUACUGAGGUUGAUCCAAUGAUUAGGAGAGGUUAUUAGAGUUUUCUUCAUAGUCUAGUUCAAGAUUCGAAUUUUGUAUCGGAUAGUUAGAAAUGAGAAGAGUAUGAAAAAAAUAAGAGGUAAAAUAAAAGGAGAUAGACAUACUUAGCCGCUCUUUUUUGUACGAAUGGUGGAAUAUCAUCUGAUGCAUAAGGGGUGAAGUACUGAAUUGUUUCUCCUAUAAUUGGCAGUCCCAUCGAACCUGGUGGUAAUACCCCGUUGCACUUGGGGUUUCUCCACCUAUAUACCCAGUGGCUGAAAAGCACAAUAAUGAGAGCAAUAAUAGCACAAGCAAACAACAUGGUCCUUGGUUAGUGUACUGGAAAUGUAGGGAGAAAAGGCGAAGAGAGUAGCUAAAAUUGCUGUUGUUUGCUAUGAAGGAAUCUCGGAUUGGAGCUGCUUAAAUAGAUGGAGAGCUCAAGCUCUGACAAGGACGCGCUGUAAGAUUGUUGGCGAUAGACAUAUUACCUUUUUUUUUUUAUAAUAAUAAUAUUUUUAUAAUUUAAUUUAUCUUAUUUUAGACGAGAGGGAAGACUAAAGAUGCUACAUAUAAGGAAUUAAUAGAUAUAAGAAUCUAUUAAAUCAAAAGAGUAUUUUGACACUUCUUUUAAAUUUUUUUACUAUAAAUAGGAUUCGAACACCUAAUCUUCAACUCAAAAAAGGACUUUAGUUUCCAUUUUGGUGAUGACCAUGAGCUCUUGACUCAGUGGCUCGGUUAAUAGUAUAGGUGAUAAACCAAUUCAAUUAACUAAAUUUACCCAUACUCAUCCAUGAAUAUAUAGGUAUGAGUAUCUUAAAUUUUUGUAUAUGGGUAUAAAUAGGUUACCCAAUAAUACCCAAUUAACCCAUUUAGAAUUCUCUUCCCCCACCUCUUUUUUUUUUUCAAAAUUUUCAUUUUGUCAUGACGUUAACUAAUUUUGUUUCAUUAUUAUUAUUAUUAUUAUUAUUUGUUGGUUUUAAUUUAUUAUUUUAUUUUCUCUUAGUUUGUUAACUUGCUUAUUUUUCAGCAUUACCAAUUUAUGAUAAGUUUUAGCCUCUUUUCUUAUCUUUCUAAAAUGAAAUUUUAAAUUUUAUAUAUGAAAAAAAUGUUAGGGGUUCAAAAUUUUUGGAUUAAGUUUUUAUAUUAACUUUUAUAGUACUUAGUUCAAAUUUUUAUAUUCUUAUUAUUCAAUUAUUAAAUAAUAUGUAAUUGUGACAUAGAGUAUAAAUGAAAAAAAAUUGGUAAUUAGGCUAAUUGAGUAUUAUAAGUAAAUAUUUAAAACUAAUGAUGGGUACAAAGAGCGGUAUAAAUUGAUAAUUUAGUUUGCAAAAAUGAAUUUAAAUGAGUUUGUAAAAAGUUAAAAUAAAUAGGUUAUAAAUGGGUAAUUGGGUUAUCCAAUUCAUUUUUUGAUUUACCAAUUUAUACCCAUCUAAUUUAAAUGGGUAUAAAUGAAUUGAGCUACUUAUACCCAUUACCCAUUUUAUCCAAUCCAAACCCACCCAAGUCACCCAUUUUGACACAUCUAGUUAAUAGACAUAUUGCCUGAUGACACAAAUUUCACCUGUAAUUCAUAAAGAGUCAAAAAGAAAAAUCGGCUACGGUGAAAGUCAAUGUGAGGCCAAUAGCGCUUGGUCACGGCGGCCAGAGAGGCCAAAAAGUCUAUCUUGCACAACGCUGGCUACAAAUUCAAGCCAUGUGCGAGGUAGAAACCUCAUGAAAUUACCAAAGUGUUUUUGGAAUGCUAGAUUAUUUCACGUAAUAUUUCAUUUGUAUUAUAAACAUAUUUUUUAAUUCAUAUUUUUAUAUUUUUUAACUAUCUUUUUAUGUCACAUAUAUCACAUUAUAAAAAUUAUUAUAAUAUUUAUUCUAAAUAAUAUUUCAAAUAAUACUCUAUCCAAAUACACUAAGGAAAGCUCUGGCACUAUUUUUGGUAAGAAUGAUUUUAAAUCUCACUGCGGUGAUUUUUGGUAACAUGUUAUAGAUAUGUCAAGCUCCAUGAAAGUUGCUACAAGUGAGGAUACAAUGUCAUAGCGACCCUCAAAGCUAGCCCCUCACCAUCUUAGGAAAUAGCCUGAGUAGAUUAGGCUUAUCAAAUUAUAUUGUCAUAGUUCAAGGAGAUUGGCUAAAAGCCAAAUUUGACUCUCCUUGUUGAAAUAGUGAAAGAAUGGAAUUGUGAUUUGGCAUUUCUAUCUCUUCUUUAGUAACAAAAGUCUUUUUUAAUUUGUUUAUCAAUUUUUGGGUAAUUUAGUCAUUACAAUUUGCUGUUUUUUAGUUCACUUAGUUAGAUUUUUUCAUUAUUGUAGUUUGUUCUUAGUUGUUACUCAUAUUUUUUUCUUUGAAGCUAAAACUAAUAGGAAAAAUAGAAAACACAAAUCUCUACUCUCAGGAAAAGUCAAGCGGGAAAGAAUGACGAAAAGAAACAUAUCACCAUACCUGGAUGAUAGUGCUUCAUUUCUUGAAAAGGAUGAUCAUUUGUGGUUUUAAAUAACUACUUAGUCCAAAAGAGUUUUCAUAAAGUAUAUGCUGAUCAAGUGGUUGAGGAAAAUCUAAGAAAUAGACAAGUGAAGCCACAAAAAUUGGUGAGAAGAUACUCGCGACAAAGAAUAGGCUUACAUACAUGAAUAAAAUAACUUUGUCAAGGUAUCUAAACAUACAAGAACAGGACAAAACAAUUUUGCAUGAGACGUUCUUCACAUUAUGUGUCACAAGAAUGGAAAAUAAACAAAAUUAUCCUUUGUCGUUGCAAACUAGAAGCAAAUCUCAAAGUGUGCAGUUUAAAAGUAGGGGGAUGUAUAUCUAUGGAGACAAAGUAAAAUAUUUAUUAAUUCAAAUAAGAUUUCUAUUAUUACAAAUCUCUAUCCUGUAUAUUGUUAUAUAUUUUAAUAUUAUAAUACUUUUUGUGAUGUAAUAUAUGUAAGAAAAAAGGUAGUUCAAAAGAUAAAAAUGUGAUUAAAAACAUAUUUAUAAUGGAAUUAAAUUUUUUUUAUAAAUAAUCCCAUAUCUAAACAAGCCCAUUGUGUGCAUGUUACCUUAAACUAUAUUAGAUUUUUUUGAGUAUUUUGAAUAUGCAUCAUUAAGUAAUUGUCAAUAUCAACUAAAUGAAAGAAGGAAAAAAAAAAAAGAAGUGGAAACAAAUAAGGUGAAAAGAAGUCCCAUCUCGCGUGUAAUUGUCAAUAUCAACUAAAUGAAAGAAGGAAAAAUAAGAAGCGGAAACAAAUAAGGUGGAAAGGAGUCCCAUCUCCCGUGUAAUAGUUCGAAUCAUUUACAAAAAAAAAAAAAAAAAAAGGGGUUCUGACUGUUUCUUUCUCUUGUGGAUAGUGAACUGUUUGUCAGUUCAUCGCCUUACCACAUUCAAAUGCAAUGGGUUUUUAUUGCUUUAAAAAUAACUCAUUUUAUCUACUACUAAACUAUACUAUAACAAAACCUAAAAAAGGACAUGAACAGAUCCAAGAUCAACUAAGAUAGGAGAUAACUAAAGAAAAGAGAAGAAAUUAAAUCAAUUAUUAAGUGAUUUACCUAAUUGGAAAAGCAAUUUAUGAUAAAUUACACACUAUGCAUGUGCAAUGCAUGUGCAUUUUGUGAGGCUCCGAAAUUUUACUUAUCUUUAUACCUCUUGUUUGAACAUACUUGCCUUAAAUUCUUGGUUGUUUUAAUAGUUGUAUCAUGGUUUUUCCCUUAUUGUAUUAUUUACCUUGGUACAUGUUUAAUUUGGUGCAUGUUAAGUUUCCUAGUGUAGUAUACUAGUGUGACCAACUAGUGAGGUGUGUGCAAUAAAUUUGGAGGAUUAGAAGGAGUUUUGUGCAAAAAGAACUAUGUGACAUGAGGUGUUAAGAGUUAAUUGAAGAAACCCUAGAUAUCUUGGUGAACUAGAGACAAACAGAGAGAUAAAGAGAUAGACAUCUCUUUUUUUCUUGCUAUUUGUCAAGUAGUCAACCAAAGUUGACUACGACCUUAACCAAAAUAAGCUUUUAUUUCUUCACUAUUCUUUCCUUCUUUAUCUUGUCUUGGCCAAAAUUCUUGAGGGGAAAAGAGGUGAAAACCAACUCCAAGUUCAAGCCUUGAUUUCUUGCUUGAUUAAUGAGAGAAAACGUUAGUCUACUCUGACAAACCUUGAAUUAGGGUUGGAAGGAAGCUAUUAGAGAGGUUUUGGAGGAAGAAACCCUUGAGUACUUCUUGCUUGGCUAUUCAUCUAAGGUUUUGGAGGUAAAGACAUGAACUUUGUUAAAAAUAUUCCCUUAUCUUUGGGUUUAUUUGAUGUAUGAUGUUAUAGAAGUUAAACGAAGGACUUGUAUGGUGGAUUUUAUGAUUUUCAGGUUCUGUUGUGAAUUUCCAACUUUGUUUUGUGGGAUUCAAGAGGUAAACUUGAUAGCAACCUUAUCUUUCUUCACUUGUCUUUGCAUCUACUUGAUGGAUGAUAUUCUAUAAGGUAAAAUGCAUGACUUUUAUGGAAGAUUUCAUGGUUUGUCAAGAUUAUGUUGCAAUUUCCAACUUUGGUGCAUAAUCUAGUUAGUUUAGUUUAGAGUUUUGAAUAUGUGAAAUUUUGAUGGGUUUGUUUGCUAAGAAGAUGGUUCAUAUAUGUCAUGACAUGAUAUCUUGAUUGAUAGUGGUUUCACCAAGAAAAUAAGGUUGAAAGUUGGAAGUUUUGUUGGAAAAUUUGGGAAAAACUUGCUGUAAUUUCUAUUAGAGUUGGCCGGCUAGAAAAGAGCCAUUUUCUAGCUUUGAUUUCCAGAAUUUUGUGGUGAUUUUGGCAAGGUUUUGCUCAAGAUACUUUGUUAAACCUAAAUUUUCACCUGUAUGUUGGAUUUCAGUCAAAACAAAGAGGACAAGAGAAGGAAAAUGAGUUUUCUCCAACAUGUUUUUCUUGCUCGAAAUUUCUAGUUUUGUACCUCGAAAAUCUUGUCCUAUUGUCUUCAAAAUUCUUGGUUAUAAUCAACAAAAUUCUUGCUCCAUAUUAUACUUGAAACAUGGACCUAUCAUACAUAUAGUUUUCCCUUGAUUUGAACAAGAAAUCUUGGCCCUUUCGGAAACUAUAUUAGGGUUAAACCUGAAAUUUUCUGUGUUUGUCAAGUGAAGCUUCGAACUCAUAUUUUCUCAUUUAUCUUGGAUUUAAAUGGAUAGACUCUUGAUAGCUUAUAUGACCACAGGACUUGAGAAGACGAAUCAGGGUUUGAAGUGGAAACAUUGAGGUCAAGUGGUGAGUGUUCCUUAUGUUUGUGAAUUGAAUGCCUUGAUUGUGUGUUAUUUUUUGACUGUUAAAUGUAUUUCAAAAAUCACUUUACUAUUGAUAGGCGAGUGUGUACCUUAUCGCACUCGACCUAAGUGAAUAUGAAUUUUUAACGAUUACAUGAUUGAAUGUUACUUGUGCAUGAAUGCAAGUCAUUGGUUGAAUUGGACCCUUAUCCUUCGUCGCUAGCCUAUUCAAAUCAGAAGCAGACUCGGUCAGGUAGGUUGGUAACCCUGAGCCACUGUUUUGGUAUACUCGAGUAUAAUCACGAAAUCAGGUGAAGUACUGACCAGUGAAUGAAAUGCAAUAAAUAAAUGAUUGAAUGAAAUGAUCAAUGUCGGGGUUUUUGUUUUCAAAUGUGUUUUCAAAUAUUAGAAGUUAUAAGGAAGAAAUGGACGGAGACAGAAUGACUAAAUGAAUGAAUGGUUCCAAGUGAGUUUGUAUCCUUUAAAUGAUUACUUUUUGAAUGACAGGUAAAAACACUUUUAGCGACUAUUUGGUUACCUGUUGGACUGGUCACAUAAAUAAGAUAAUACCUAAAAAUUUGGUUAGUAAGUUUCACAUAAAAAAUAGUAAGUUAACUCGAUAAAUUAGUAACUUUUAUGUCUCAAAAAGUAAAUUGAAAUAAAUAGGGAACUUACUUUUUUUUGACAUAAAUUACUACUCUAUAUCCACAACUGACUUUUUGGAGAGUAAGUUUAGUUCAAGUAAUAAUCAGUUUUUAUAGAUUAAUAGUAAAUCUUGUUGAUAAAAUAGUAAAUUUGGUUAAUGAUCAAAACUUACCAGUUUGUGGCAUAAAUUUACUAUUUUACUUAAAAAAAUUUUAUGGAACAAGUAUUAGGAAGUUUAUAUGAAAUAAUGCUAAGAUUUUUUUAUUAAUGAUUGAAACUUAGUAUUAUAGUUAGUAAUUACUCGUCGUGUAAAUGUAUGAUACACGAAUGCACGCAUCAUUUAUAAAUUUUACGUUUUAAGCAUUUUAAAUAUACUAAAUAUACUAUGAAAACUUUUUUUUUUCACAUGACCUUAUAAAAUAUGUAAGAAUAAUUUGUCAUGUUACAAAUUCUGAAUUAUUUUUGAAUUUGUGAAAGGUUAGAAAGUUUGGAUGACAAUACCAACAAAUAUUUCGAGUUAUAUAUAGAAUAGCACUUAUCUAUACAUCACAAUUUCCAUAUAUUAAUACCUAUGAAUAUAAUAAUAUGGUAAAGUUUUAAUAAAUAUAUUUUUUGGGUCACAAGUAUAAAAGUUAAAUUUAUAUUACAAUAACAACAAAUAUAAAAUAGCACUUAUUUAUACAUCACAAUCUCCAUAUAUUAAUACCUAUGAAUUUAAUAAAAUGGUAAAGUUUUAAUAAAUUUAUUUUCUAAGUCACAAGUAUAAAAAUUAAAGUUGUAUUAACAUAGUAUAAUCUUUGAAAAUUAUAGUGAAUUUAUCCAUAUGUUAAGUUCCAUGGCUUUCAAAUAUACUUUGUAUCAUUUACAUCGUGGAUUUGUAUGCAUAUUUUUUCUAUCAAACUCCUUUUUUUAUUGGCAAAUGGUAUGUAAAUCAUUAUAAAAUGUCAUUUUAUAGUAAUCAUAAUUUUUUAUAGGUGAAUGUUAUGUAAACUGCUAAAAUUGUCAAUUCAUAAAUGACUAAAUCUUACUAUUUUAUAGCAUAUAUUAGUCUGAUCGACUAAAAAAUUACUGUAAUCAUGUGUACGUUGAUUGUUGAUUUGAAAUUUGCACCAUUGUCACUAGUUCCAUUAUUACUAGUACAAAUUCUUCUAAUCAAAGUAAAAUCAAAUCAAAUAUCUUUUCCUUUUGUAUGCAGUAGUUAUGGUUAAUAGAAAAUUAUUAAACCAUUCUUACAAUACAUAAUUUCUCUUGGAAUUAGUAACAUUUUCUAAAUAAAUUGGAAUAAUUUGUAAAAUAUUCCAAUUUAUUUUUUUCACCAAUAUAAUCAAAAGAAUUUUGCACUAUUAAAAGACAAAUGGAAAGAAUGAACGAUGGUAUAAGUAUAAAUGUGAGCAACUACAUACGUAUCACACCAUGAGUUUAGGUAUGAUUUGUUUAAAACAUAAGUAAUUUACAAAUGAAAAUACAAUUUAGUAUAUACUAAUUAUCCAAUCCACGGACGGAUCCAUGACCAGCGCGGGAAAUCGUAAAGAACUUCGUGCCGAACUUCUUCAGAUUCUUUGGGUCCAGUGGAGUAUUCGAAUUGCUUCUGUAAUUUUAAGUAGGUGGCAACGAUCCAUAUCAAUUCUUGCUCCACUUUACUCGGUCUCCAUUCUAUAGAAACUUCUCUUUGACAUUUCACCAAACACCUUAUAAGCAUUUCCAAAUUAUGCAUACAAACUUUUCUUUGAAUCAUAGUACAAUUCAAUUGUGCAUACCGAAAUUUCAAAUAACCAACUAAAAUUGUAGAUUACCAAUUUCUUGCAAUUAUAGAACAUCAACAACCAUCAAUGAACUUCAGAUUAAGCCUUUAGCUAACAAAUGCACCAAUUGAAUCCUAAGGGAUGAGUGAAUGAUCAAGAUGCUGGCAUCACCCUAAAAUUAUUGAAACCAAUCUCCAUUCCAUAGGGGAAGUCCAUGACCUCUAACCUUAUCAAUAAUACUAACCACCGACAUGCAGAUAAUCUUAAGAGAAAAAGCCAUCAAAAUGAUAAAAAGAGAAUAUUUUCGUGCUGAACGAAAAAAUUGCGAUUCUAUAUAGAAUUAAAGAAAUUCAUCAUGAAUGAGAAUGAGUUGCAAAGUUAUCACAUUUCUAAUUUCAUAUGUAUCCAGAAUUUGAUGUAGCACUACUUUAGAGUAACUCUCUGACGGGUAUUUUACAUACGUGCAAGUUAAAAAAAACCGAAUUACACCCGUUCACUGCAAGUAUACAGGUCAACUAAUAGUUUAGGGUAUAUAUCGGGUCGAUCCCACAGGGAAGAGUGAACAAUUACCGAUAUUACUAAAGCUUCUCUAUUAUUUAGACUAUCAAUGAAUUAUAACAAAUUUAACCUACUGAAAUUAUACAAAACAACAAAUAAAAGCUCAUUAGAUUGUGGUAUCCCCAACUACUCAUGCAAUUUCCAUUUUUGGAUUAUUGAGUACUAUUAUCUAGGCUAGUUAUGGUGUAAUUUCCUUAUGCAUUUGAAACCUACUUUCGUAGUGAAUCAACUAUACUUAUAACUAAUCCAUACCUAUUCUCAUGGUUAUGAAAUUAGCUACAAGUUCAUUUCUUCAAUGAAAUUACAUGAAAUGAAUCACUAAAAACCACAUAGGUGCACCUCUACUUUCGUGAGUGCACUCCCUAUGUUUAGCACUUCUUGAACUAGUGUUAAAUCUCAAUUUUCAUUGCAGAAACAACACCUUGGAUAAUCACAGUCAAUGGUACCGGAUUAAUCAUGAUUUAAAGAGCCAAAGUACUAAAUAACUUGCUCAAAUCAUAGCAAUCAAAUAACCAAAUAAUAAACACUAACAAUUAUAGAAGGUUCAACCAAACCAAGGUAUAAACUUUAGAGACACAUAUUAAACACAAAAUCCAGAACUUGCAUAUUAACUAAAUUUGGAAUCAAGUACAAAAGAUAAAGAGUUGGAAAGGAAUGUAACCCAUGUCACUUGAGCUCAUCACCUUGCCUUCUUCAUCUCCAUCUUAAUCCUAGUCUAGCAAUAUACAAGAGUGGAUGAACUACACUAGCUAAACUAUCCUACACUAAGGAAAUGGAAGAACUACAUUUCUGCACUCUUCAAGCUUCUCCCGUAUGAUAAUUCUCUAUCCCUCUGAUUGCUCUCUGUAUAAAACUGAUAUGAGGUGCCUUUCCACUGGUCCAAAAUUUCUGCUAUGAUUCUCCAAAUCUGAAUUUGUUAAGGAAUUAAAAAAUAAUGGCUUUUGACUUGGAAUAAGCCAUGUUGUAUGCUCUUUGUCUUCUGAAGCAUGUGCACCGAAUUCCCUUGCAACUUAUAGCUGGAAAGUAGUCUGAUCACAAGAGAAAUGGGUGAGCAACUUGCAGAAUUUCGGCCAGAAAACGCGCCUACACAAAACGCGCUUACAGUCGCGUUUUCUUCAACUCGCGUAUUCAACUUGGCCUCACUUAAACUGCAAUUUUCUCCAUGAUGAAAGCAGAACUGGCUUUUGUGUAAAACACAAAAGUUGUAGCCCCUUGAAUUAGAUUUCCAAUGAUUCAAGAAUCAUCCAAAUCGGAUCUUUGUAUUCUGAGAUAUGAUCGAAAUACCAUAAACUGGUCAAUUCUGGGCUACAGUUUUUGACCAUCCAGAUAAGUUUCUGUGUUUCGACUUUUUGACCAAGAAAACAGCUGAAUUGGACUUUGAUGUCUUCAUACCAAAUGUAUAUAUAUCUCUUAGCUUCAAAAUGGUACCAAGAUCACCUUGAUCCGAUCUGUGUAGCUCCAGAUAUAGUCAAACUAUGAAAAUAUGUCUGAGUUGUCAAAGCUGACUUUUUCUUGAUUCUUUUGUUCUCAAAUUGCAUUUCUCCUUUUAUACUUCAUAUUUUAUUUUCACCACUUUAAUCCAUCUUCAAUCAUCCAAAUAUCUUCCUAAUGCACUUCAUUUGAUGAUUGAAUCAUUAAACCUACAAAAUAUGAAGUUUUUACCAUAAAAAUCAAUAGAAAUGCAAUGUUAGCCACUUUAACAUAAAAUGUAGAUUUUUACCAAAACCUUAGUUAUUUUAGUUAUAAAACUAAAUAAUAAAACCAAAAUUAACUAAUAAAAUGUACUUAAAAAUACGUAAAAUAAACCCUUAUCAAAUACCCCUACACUUGAACCAUUGCUUGUCCUCAAGUAAUAAGAAAUACAAACCAACAAUGAUCCAAAAUUUGAAAAUAAACAUAUGUAGCAUUUCAACUUCAUUUCCUCAAAACAAAGUAAAUAACCAUUAUGUAAUUAUUCAAUUAAGUUCAAGUACUCAUAAUAUCAAGUAAAGGAGAGCCAAUUAUACCGUCAUUAUAACAAAUUCAAAUCAAUUUUUCAUCCUUACCCAAUCUUACAAGUAAGUAACUCAUAUGGUCAAUAAUAUGCUUCCUAAACCCAUGAUCAUCUUCUUAUUUAACUUAAAGAGGGAUUUAUUUAUAUAAUAUAGCUAAAUAUUACUUAAGUUCUGAAAGUAUCUUUUUACGCGAGGAUCGACAUUUUUAGAUGAAGAUCACCGGUUACUCAACACUUCAUAUACUCAAGUUGCUUUGCAUACUCUUAAUUCAAGUACCGUUUUACGCGAAAGUCGACAUUUUUAGAUGAAGACACCCGGUUACUAAGUACAAGAAUCAUUGGAGUAGAACAAAUCUUCUAUUUUCGUCUUUUUCUUUUUUUUUCUUCAUUUUUUCAUUUUUCAUCAUUUUUUUAUUUUAUUUUUUUUAGUAAAGAUAAUAACAUUCCCUUGAAAGCAUAAUCAUGAGAAGAGUAUUGCAAUUAUUGACCAUAUUUAUCACUUAACUUAUAAAAUCAAAUAAAGCGAAGAAAUUUCAUCAAAUAUGCAAAAAAAAAUAUAGGCAUAAUUUUCUCCACUUUAAAAGAUAUACUUUCCUACAAAUGCAAAAAUUAUAAUCACAUAAUAGUCAUUUCCAAGUUGAAUGAGAAAAGAAGUUUUCAAAUCACAUAUAUUUAUCUCAAAUGUAGAAGGAGUUUGAACUACUAAUGGUAUGGAACUUGUUACCCCUUGGAUAAAAUUGAAAAAAUUUAAAAAUUUUUGGGGCAAGUUUGCAAUUUUGGACAAGAUUUUAGAAAAAUUUUGAAUUUUAACACAAGUCCAAUAUUUGCAACUAAUAAGUCAAUCACAUACAAUGUAUAUAAUCUCAAUUCUCCCCCCACACUUAACAUACACAUUGUCCUCAAUGUGUAAAAAGGAAAAUCAAGAUAAAGAAAGUAAUACUCCCCUAUGAUGUGAUUGAAUAUAAAGCUUCAAAAUCCAUUGUCCGUGUAUCUCCAAUGCUUCAUGAGUUCCAUUGGAUAACCAUUAGUGAUGUAAUCCUAAAAAUGAAAAAUGAGAAACAAAAGUGAUAACAAAGGUUUAAUAAACAAAAUGGUGAUCCGUAACUUCAAUCCCUUGUUUUGGUGAUGUACUCAAAUCGAGGGGUUGAGUUCCUUGAUCAAACUUCGCCUUUUUCACCUCAUUUGGUCACUUUUGCUUUUAUUUCCAAUACCUAUAAAUGAAAAAUAACGAAAUAACUCAAACACAUACUUUAAACAUAAAAUCACACCAAAAUAACAUAAAUAGCCAAAACAUUGGGUUGCCUCCCAAUAAGCGCUUUUAUUUAUAGUCGUUGGCUCGACUAUUGAACCUCAUUUUUCAAGGAGGCUUGAUUAAAGAAUAAUCCACCAUUUUAGGUCGUGGUGGAUCAUUAAAAGGUGACUUUAUAGCAAAAGUCACAUGUUCUAAUAAUGUGAGAAAUGGAAGUGACUUACAUAUUCCAAGUGUUUCAUAGAUAUUACUUUGAAUAUGCACCACUUGAGAACUUACCAAAGGAAAUGCCAUGAAAGUAUCUUGAGCAGGAAUAUCUUUAAAACCUGUACUUUUUAUACACUCCUUAAGAGGGGUGAAAAUUGAGUCCUUAAAACUCACCUCUUGAGGCUCAAAGUUAGUUCUAAAAAUAUUAUCAUGUGAAAUGGACAUUUUCUCAUUGAAACACAAGUUAGAAUCAUCAUUUUGAUCAAAAUGUAACCCAUUUUCACAUACAACAUUCCCACCAUUUAUGCUAGGAUCUUUUUGCAAAUUGUUAGAGGAAAUAACUUCACACAAUGCACUCAAUUGCUUAUGUAUUUGACCAAAGUGAGAAGCUAAUCCAUCUAUUCUUUCCUCAAUCCUAUCAAAACGGUCGGAAGUUGCAUUUGCUAGCUUUUCUAUUGCUAAAUCAAAUUGAUUAGAAAAAUUUCCUACAGCUAGCUCCCAAGAUGCAUUAGAAUCAUUAGCUAAUGGUUCACUUUCUAACUCCCAAGGUAGAGGUGUAUUAGCUAACUUCUCUAUUGCCAACUUCCAAGAUGGUUUUGAUUCAUAUUGGACAAUUUCAAAUUGGUAAUCAUAAAAAUAUGGAUAAUCACUAUAUGCACAUUGAUUUUCCCAACCAUAAGAAAGAGAAUUGCUCCAAUUAGCACUGUAUUGAUCAAAAUAAGGAUUGUAAUGCUCUAAUUCAUCAUAAUAAUCCACAUUUUGUGCUUGCAUACAUGUGUUAGUAGCAUGAUAACCUCCACACAAGUCACAAAUCACAUGAUAAGAAUUAAAAGCAUUAACAUUCCUCCCUUGCUCAAUUUCAUGCAUAAUUGUGUCCAUUUGAACUUGUAGCAUUAUAACAUCAAAUUUAGCCUUUAAGCACCUUAAACCAUCUUCAAAAGACUUACAUUCAGUAAAUUCUUGGUUACCUCUGUUGAAGGAGUUUUGCACUUGGUAACCAUCCAUUGCCAAACUUCCACUUCUCAAGCAUUGUCCUCCAAAUUGACAUAUCCUUCUCAUCACCUAAAAUUGCUUUUAAACAAUCUCAAAAGCAAAAUUAGUAAGAAAAAUAGGUAAUGAAACAUAUAUACACAUAAAACACAAAAAUAACAGAAAAUAACAUUCACACUAUAACUAAUGAAAUAUCUAAACUAAUAAAGUUGCUCUUCACACUAAUAUUGCCAAAUCUUCCCCGGCAACGGCGCCAAAAACUUGACGGGUAUUUUACAUACGUGCAAGUUAAAAAAAACCGAAUUACACCCGUUCACUGCAAGUAUACAGGUCAACUAGUAGUUUAGAAUAUAUAUCGGGUCGAUCCCACAGGGAAGAGUGAACAAUUACCGGUAUUACUAAAGCUCCUCUAUUAUUUAGACUAUCAAUGAAUUAUAACAAAUUUAACCUACUGAAAUUAUACAAAACAACAAAUAAAAGCUCCUUAGAUUGUGGUAUCCCCAACUACUCAUGCAAUUGCCAUUUUUGGAUUAUUGAGUACUAUUAUCUAGGCUAGUUAUGGUGUAAUUUCCAUAUGCAUUUGAAACCUACUUUCGUAGUGAAUCAACUAUACUUAUAACUAAUCCAUACCUAUUCUCAUGGUUAUGAAAUUAGCUACAAGUUCAUUUCUUCAAUGAAAUUACAUGAAAUGAAUCACUAAAAAUCACAUAGGUGCACCUCUACUUUCGUGAGUGCACUCCCUAUGUUUAGCACUUCUUGAACUAGUGUUAAAUCUCAAUUUUCAUUGCAGAAACAACACCUUGGAUAAUCACAGUCAAUGGUACCGGAUUAAUCAUGAUUUAAAGAGCCAAAGUACUAAAUAACUUGCUCAAAUCAUAGCAAUCAAAUAACCAAAUAAUAAACACUAACAAUUAUAGAAGGUUCAACCAAACCCAAGGUAUAAACUUUAGAGACACAUAUUAAACACAAAAUCCAGAACUUGCAUAUUAACUAAAUUUGGAAUCAAGUACAAAAGAUAAAGAGUUGGAAAGGAAUGUAACCCAUGUCACUUGAGCUCAUCACCUUGCCUUCUUCAUCUCCAUCUUAAUCCUAGUCUAGCAAUAUACAAGAGUGGAUGAACUACACUAGCUAAACUAUCCUACACUAAGGAAAUGGAAGAACUACAUUUCUGCACUCUUCAAGCUUCUCCCGUAUGAUAAUUCUCUAUCCCUCUGAUUGCUCUCUAUAUAAAACUGAUAUGAGGUACCUUUCCACUGGUCCAAAAUUUCUGCUAUGAUUCUCCAAAUCUGAAUUUGUUAAGGAAGUAAAAAAUAAUGGCUUUUGACUUGGAAGAAGCCAUGUUGUAUGCUCUUUGUCUUCUGAAGCAUGUUCACCGAAUUCCCUUGCAACUUAUAGCUGGAAAGUAGUCUGAUCACAAGAGAAAUGGGUGAGCAACUUGCAGAAUUUCGGCCAGAAAACGCGCCAGCACAAAACGCGCUUACAGUCGCGUUUUCUUCAACUCGCGUAUUCAACUUGGCCUCACUUACACUGCAAUUUUCUCCAUGAUGAAAGCAGAACUGGCUUUUGUGUAAAACACAAAAGUUGUAGCCCCUUGAAUUAUCUUUCCAAUGCUUCAAGAAUCAUCCAAAUCGGAUCUUUGUAUCCUGAGAUAUGAUCGAAAUACCAUAAACUGGUCAAUUCUGGGCUACAGUUUUUGACCAUCCAGAUAAGUUUCUGUGUUUCGACUUUUUGACCAAGAAAACAGCUGAAUUGGACUUUGAUGUCUUCAUACCAAAUGUAUAUAUAUCUCUUAGUUUCAAAAGGGUACCAAGAUCACCUUGAUCCGAUCUGUGUAGCUCCAGAUAUAGUCAAACUAUGAAAAUAUGUCUGAGUUGUCAAAGCUGAAUUUUUCUUGAUUCUUUUGUUCUCAAAUUGCAUUUCUCCUUUUAUACUUCAUAUUUUAUUUUCACCACUUUAAUCCAUCUUUAAUCAUCCAAAUAUCUUCCCAAUGCACUUCAUUUGAUGAUUGAAUCAUUAAACCUACAAAAUAUGAAGUUUUUACCGUAAAAAUCAAUAGAAAUAUAAUGUUAGCCACUUUAACAUAAAAUGUAGAUUUUUAUCAAAACCUUAGUUAUUUUAGUUAUAAAACUAAAUAAUAAAACCAAAAUUAACUAAUAAAAUGUACUUAAAAAUACGUAAAAUAAACCGUUAUCACUCUCCUUUUCCGCACCAAAGAACCAACCCCAAUCUCCACUUUCCUUUUAUUUUUCCUAUAGCCAUUAAAUGGUGUCAAAGUCGUUAGCAUUAAAAUACUAAAUAAAUUUCAUUCCAUUUCAAGCUCUAGUUUAUUGUAUCCUAAUAUUUUACACACCACACCCCCCAAAAAAUGAUGAUCAAGUUGGCUAGCGUAACUGAAAUUCGUCAACUGUGGUUUUAAUCAAGUUGCUUGGUGCUUUCUUACCCCGUAUAGGCAUCAAUCAUAGCAUACAAAUUUCUUUUUGAUAUUUUACCAAACACCUUAUAUGCAUUCCCAAAUUAACCAUGUUUCACAUAAACGCCUACACACUACUAUGUUUCACAUAAAGGGUCUAAGAUAUUUCCCACAUAUUUUUCAACAAACUAUUGACAAUCAAAUCAAAUGAAAGAUAAAUAAAUUAAAGCAAUAUAAUCAAACGAUUUUCAAGAAAACAUGAUGGUCUAACCUCUUGGCUGCUAUUUUUCAUCUACUCUCUUGCCAGCUACCACCACCGCAGCCCUAAUCAAAAUCUCAACCCUUUUGUUGGGUCUGCAUAUGCCAGCAUCCAAAACCGAUUGAUCAGGAAGGAAAGAGGGAAAGUGUGGACUAAACAGGAAAAUUUUGCGAGGAAAAAAUUUCCAUUCCAUCAUAUUGUGAGGUGAGAAGAAAAUAAGAAGAAGGCAAGCGACUUUAGAGAGAUGUGAUAACCCAAAAUUGUUUCAGAAACCGGUGAUUUUUUUAACUUAAGUAUGUAAAUUUUUUACUUUUAGUAUUAGUAAGUUUAAUUUUAAAAAAGCAAAUUUUGUCAAAUUAUAAGUAAAUUAUAUUACUCAAAGUGUAAAUUUCUAUUUCUUCUAAAACUUACUCUUUCAGGUAUAUACUUACUAAUUUUAAUUAAAAACUUACUAACGUUAAUAUUAAUUAUUUUAAUACAAUAUUUAAAAAGACGCUAAAAAACUUGAUUUGUCACUGAAGUUAAUAGAAACCUACUUAGGUUUCCUUAAUAUUGUUACCAUAACUAUAAGCACUGUAGCAUUAGUUUCCCAAUUAUCUGGAAGAGACUCUGAGUAUACCAAAUUUGGAAAGCAUUACCUUCUUGCUGGAAGACACGGUAGUUGACGUCAGCAUCAGUUGAUACAAUGAUUGGCUGCCCAACUAUACUCGUGCGAAAAAUUGGCCCGUACCUGAAAAUUCCCAAAAAAAAAAAGAAACAAAGAAAGGCUAGUUAAGAUAAAACAUUCUUAACUAUUACUGCUGUAAUAUUGUUAAAAUUUAUAUGUGAUAGCUGGUUAAGAAGUGGUUAGAUAAUCACUGGAUUAUUGAGGUUGGUCCAAUAAUUAGGAGAGGGUAUUAAAAUUUUCUCUAUAGUUUAACGCAAUAUUCAAAUUCUGUAUCUGAUAGUUGAAAAUGAGUAAGGUGCGAAGAAAAAUAAGAGUCGAAAAAAUAAAGGGUUAGACAUACCUAGCCGCUCUUUUUUGUACGAAUGGUGGAAUAUCAUCUGAUGCAUAAGGGGUGAAGUACUGAAUUGUUUCUCCUAUAAUUGGUAGUCCCAUCGAACCUGGUGGUAAUUCCCCGUUGCACUUGGGGUUUCUCCACGUAUAUGCCCAGUGGCUGAAAAGCACAAUAUUGAGAGCAAUAAUACCCGUCUAUGAAUAGAUGGGUAUGAAUAUCUUAAAUUUUUGUAUAUGGAUAUAAAUGGAUUACCCAAUAAUACCCAUUUAACCCAUCAAAUCCAAUUAAUCCAUUUAGAAUUCUCUUUCCCAACCCAUUUUUUUUUUCAGAAUUUUCAUUUUGUCAUGAUAUUAACUACUUUUGUUUCAUUAUUAUUAUUAUUUGUUGAUUUUAUCUUAUUAUUUUAUUUUCUCUUAGCUUGUUAACUUGUUCAUUUUUCAGCAUUACCAAUUUAUGAUAAGUUUUAGUUUCUUUUCUUAUCUUUCUAAAAUGAAAUUUUAAAUUUAUAUAUGAAAAAAAAUGUUAGGGGUUCAAAAUUUUUAGAUUAACUUUUAUAGUACUUAGUUCAAAUUUUAUAUUCUUAUUAUUCAAUUAUUAAAUAAUAUAUAAUUUUGUGACAUAGAGUAUAAAUGGAAAAAAAAUUGGCAAUUAGGCUUAUUGAGCAUUAUAAGUAAAUAUUUAAAACUAAUGAUGGGUACAAAGAGCGGUAUAAAUUAAUAACUUAGUUUGUAAAAAUGAAUUUAAAUAAGUUUAUAAAAAAUUAAAAUAAAUAGGUUAUAAAUGGGUAAUUGGGUUAUUCAAUUCAUUUUUUGACUUACCCAUUUAUACCCAUCUAAUUAAAUGGAUAUAAAUGAGUAGACUCGCUUAUAUCCAUUAUCUAUUUUAUACAAUUCAAACCCGUCCAAAUCACUCAUUUUGACAUCUCUAAUUAAUAGACAUAUUACCUGAUGACACAAAUUUCACCUGCAAUUUAUAAAGAGUCAAAAGGAAAAAUCGGCUGCGGUGGAAAGUCAAUGUGAGGCCAAUAGCGCUUGGUCACGGCGGCUAGAGAGGCCAAAAAAAAAAGUCUAUCUACAAAUUCAAGCCACGUGCAAGGUAGAAAUCUCGUGAAAUUACUAGAGUGCAUUUGGAUUGUUGAAUUAUUUUACAUGAUAUUUUGCUUGAAUCAUAAAUAUAUUUUUUAAUUUAUUUUUUAGUUAAGUAUGUCGUAUCAUAAAAAAUAUUAUAAGAAUUAUUUUAAAUAAUAUUUUAUUCAAAUACACUCAGGGAAAGCUCUGCCAUAUUUUUUAUAAUAAUGAUUUUAAAUCUCACUGCGGUGACUUUUGGUAACAUGUCAUAGAUAUCGUCUCAGCGACGCUUAUCAAAUUAUAUUGUCAUAGUUCGAGAAGAUUAGCAGAAAAAAAAAAGCGAGAGAGAGAGAGAGAGUCAGGAACCUGAAUAUCUUUAUUCAUUUUAGUCAAAGGGAAAACGUCUAUGCUUUUUGGAAGCCAAAUUUGACGCUCCUGGUUGAAAUAGUGAAAGAAUGGACUUCUGAUUUGGUCUUUCUCUCUCCUCUUUACUAACAAAAGUCUUUUUUAAUUUGUUUAUCUAUUGUUUGGGUAAUUUAGUCAUUACAAUUUGCUGCUUUUUAGUUCACUUAGUUAGAUCUUUUGAUUAUUGUAGUAUGUUCUGAAUUGUUACUCAUAUUUUUUUUUCUUUGAAGCAAAAAUUUGAAAAAUAGAAUACACGAAUUUCUACUCUCAGGAAAAGUCAAGCGAGAAAGAAUGACGAAAAGAAACAUAUUACCAUACCUGGAUGAUAGUGCUUCAUUUCUUGAAAUGGAUGAUCAUUUGUGGUAUUAAAUAGAUAAUCAGUCCAAAAGAGUUUUCAUAAAGUAUAUGCUGAGGAAAAUCUAAGUGGUUGAGGAAAAUCUAAGAAAUAGACAAGUGAAGCCACAAAAAUUGGUGAGAAAAUAUUCACAACAAAGAAUAGACUUACAUGCAUGAAUAAAAUAACUUUGUCAAGGUACCUAAACAUACAAGAAUAGAAUAAAACAAUUUUACACGAGACGCUCUUCACGUUACGUGUCACAAGAAUGAAAAAUAAAUAAAAUUAUACGAGUAGAUGAUAAUUUACACACAUUAAAGUCCAAACUCUCAAACGCUGGAAAAUUAAUUUCAUCCCAUGCAGGGACGAAAUCUCAGGACAUCCUACCAAAAUAUGCUUCUUUCUGUCUCUAUUGAAUGCUUCUUUCUGGUCAAUUCAUGCAAACCCUCUAGCUAUUUGCAAGUUGGGACGACGUAUUGCGUGACAAUUUCAAUGAGCAGUACACUAUCAAAUUCAACUUUCGCCUUCAGAAAUUCAAACUCUGUAAAAUUUUUCCCUUUUAGAAAUGGAAAUUUGUCAUUUUAUCAAAGACUUUGACAAAAACCCCAAUAGCUUUGCAAUAACUUUGACAAAAAUACAUAAAUAAGGCAGGCUGCUCGAGUACGUAAAUUACGACCAAACAAGAAGAAGGGUUAUUGCACCAAAGAGGGCAGGCUGCAAAGAGUACGUAAAUUAAUUUAGAGUAAUGAUGUUUUAUAUAUAUAUAUAUAUAUAUAUAUAUAUAUAUAUAUAUAAAUUGAAAGAUCUUGAAUUCAGUAUCUUUUAUAUACAAUAUUAUCUAUCUUACCAUCUAACUCAACCAUUCUCGAAGCGACAAAAUAACAUUUCUUUCUGUACAAAAUACAUAUUAACCUAAGAGAUUUUGUUUUAAGGAUGAAGCUCAAACAUUGAUAAAGUAAUAAAAGAUUUUCUCUGUCAUGAUCACUUAAACUAUGUGUGACAAAUCCCGGGGUCAUUAUGAUCUUGUAUAUUUCAUUAUUUGUCUGUUCUGAACAUUUUUAUAAUCUCUUCUCGGUGCUGGCAGACUUCCACCCUUUCUUUUCAUAGGUCCCUUUUCAAUUAAUUUUCAAGCGUCUCCGCAAUGAUUUGCAUUUUUAAUAGGGCAGGUGGCGCCCUGGACUGAAUCAAAAGCAUCAAUUAAAGCCUAACUGCGAGAUUGACUACCAAACAAAUCAACUUUUGGUUUUGGUUUCUUAAUUUGGAUUGUGUUUGGAUUGCAUUUUUCUAGAUUUUUUGUAGAAAAAUUAUUGUAGGAAUUUGAUAUAUGUGAGAUAAAAAGAUGAUUGAAAAAUGUGUUCACAAAAAGUAUAGCAAUUUUUCUUUGAAAAAUGGCUGUCCAAACAAGAUUGGCCAACAGGAAUGCAAGUCUGGAAAUGAGAAAGCAUGUCACUUGGGCUCAAUUUCACGUUCACAUCAAUAACCCUUCUUGUUAAAAAUCAGAUUCUGACGGAUCAGAUCUGCAAUAAUUCGAGAUCAUUUACGUCUCCAUCCAUUUUUUUGCCAUUGUGUGAUCCGUGUAGGUAGGAUGUCCUGAGAUUUCGUCCCUGCAUAGGAUGAAAUUAAUUUUCCAGCGUUUGAGAGUUUGGACUUUAAUGUGUCGUUCCAAACUAGAAGCAAAUCUCAAAGUGUGUACAGUUUAAAAGUAGGGGGAUGUAUAUCUAUAAAGUCAAAGUAAAAUAUUUAUUAAUUCAAAUAAAAUAUCUAUUAUUACAAAUCUCUAUCCUGUAUAUUGUCAUAUAUUUUAAUAUUAUAAUACUUUUUGUGAUGUAAUAUGUGUAAGAAAAAAUGUAGUUUAAAAGAUAAAAAUGUGAUUAAAAACAUAUUUAUAAUGGUACUAAAAUUUUUCUUAUCCCAUAUCUAAACAAGCCCAUUGUGUGCAUGUUACCUUCAACUUUAUUAGAUUUUUUGAGUAUUUUGAAAAUGCAUUGUUAAGUAAUUGUCAAUAUCAACUAAAUGAAAGAAAGACAAAAAUAAGAAGUCCCAUCUCCCACGUAAUUGUCAAUAUCAACUAAAUGAAAGAAGGAAGAAUAAGAAGUGGAAACAAAUAAGGUGGAAAGAAGUCCAUCUGCCGUGUAAUAGUUCGAAUCAUUUACAAAAAAAAAUGAAAAAAAAGAAAAAAAAAGAAGAAGUUCUGACUGUUUCUUUCUCGUGUGGAUAGUGAACUGUUUAUUAGUUCAUCACCUUACCACAUUCUCAUCAAAUGCAGUGGAUUUUUAUUGCUUUAAAAAUAACUCAUUUUAUCUACUCCUAAACUAUACUAUAAAUAGACCUAAAAAAGGACAUCAACAAAUCCAAGAUCGACUAAGAUAGGAGAUAAGUAAAGAAAAGAGAAGAAAUUAAAUCAAUCAUUAAUUGAUUUACCUAAUUGGAAAAGCAAUUUAUGAUAAAUUACUCGCUAUAUAUACACGUGCAAUGCGUGUGCAUUUUCCUAGUUUGAUCACUAUAAAGAAUAAGGAUUUGGCUCAUCUCCACUAAAUUCUAUCUUCAUUUUUCAUAAUACACAUCUAGAUGCAUAACAUGUGUUUUUAUUUAUUAACAAAUCUUAAAAUUAGUCAAACUUGAAAUGAUCUUGUCCCCUUUUAAUAAAUAAAGACACAUGUGAUUCAUUCAUAUGUGCAUUAUAGGAAAUGGAAAGAUAAUUUAUUAGAGAAGAGCCAAAUUAUUUGUGAAUAUUAUUUUAAUAAUAAAACACUAGAAAAUUUGGUGGUCAUUCAAGUUUUCAAGUCUCAAAAACUUGGAAAGUAAGAUAAGAAGGUAAACUUGCAAAUCAUAUAUAUACAUAUAAUAAAGUCGUAUUCUCAUUCUUAUCGAUUCAUGUUUUCUUUUUCUUACGUGGCUUAACGAGACGGCAAGUAGUUUUCUACGUGGCUUGCUCUUUUUUUGUUUGGAUUUAUAUCAAUUCUUAUUUCCUAUAUUAUAUGAUUAGUUUGAUAAGAUAUAUCAAUUCUUAGUCGGAUAAGAAUUGUUAGUCCGAUAAGAUAUAUCAAUCAUACUAAGAUAUAUCAAUUCUUAGUCCGAUAAGAAUUGUUAUCACUACAAGAAGUAGAAAAGUAACUAAUUUCAAUUAAUAAAUCAUCUUUUCUUCAAAAAAAUAGUUAUUUGGACGAUUGUGGUUUUAUUUCCUAUAACAAUUCUUAAUAUUUUUUAAUCAAAUUUUCACCUCAUAUAUAUAAAUUUUCAUGGGUUUUGUUGUCUAGAAUUUUUGUAAUGAAAUUGUUUUCAGCGAGCCAAAAGAUUCUUUUUUUAAAAAAUAUGUUCAUCUUCAGAUGUAAGAAUUUUAUGGAAGUAAAUGCUAUUGUUGAUUACGUCCCAUGUUGUUCUUAAAUUUUUAAUAAUCAAUUGACUAAGAUAUUUCUUCACGAAAUUUGUGUCUUUAACUAUUAUUACUGUUAGUUACUUUAGUUGAAUUUUUUUUGUUAUGUCUGACACUACAGUUAAAUAUUCAUAUUAUAAGCAUUUGGCCUAUGCCUCUUGAGUGUGGCUAAUUAAAUCCUGCUUUCCUAUCAUGCAGUGAUAAUGGAAAAUCAAUAAAUGCUAAGUUGCACGGACAAACCGAGGAGAAUUUUCAAACAGAAGAAAAACAAAACAAGUUUCUGAAGAGUAUAAUAUUAUUUAAUACUAUUUACUGCACUUUUUAUUUAUUUUUAAGUUUUUGAAUGUUAUUUUUUCCAUUUUUGAAUUAUUAUUCACUGAAUUAGAUGUUCAAAUUUAUAUUAUAAGAAUACUUUAUAUUACAAUGCGCACAUAGUAAUAUACUUAAGACAAGUUAUAAUAGAUUAUACAUUAAAUUUGUAUUUUAUAUUGACAUUUUCAUAAAAUUGACUAAAUAGUUUAUUUUUUUUCGACGAUUCCCGUUCAACAAACAGGUACAAAACUAGUUUGAAUAUAAAAUUGGCAAAUUUAGCUAGAAAAAAAACACUUUAAAAGUACUUUUAUCACCUAAAAGUACUCUUUUACCAAAAGUAAUGCAACUCCAAAUGGUGCCUAAAUAUCUAACGAAAUUACCUCUUGAUUGCAAAAAUGGUAAUUUUACUACCAAAAAAAAAUGAAAGUUACCAAUUCUUUUUUUUCUGAAGGAAUUACCAUUUCUUUCACUAAUUUUACUACCAAAAAAAAGUGUCAGAUACCAUCUUAAACCAUCUCCUCUUAUUCAAAAAGAAAAAUGGAUAAUUUCAAAAAUUUCCCCGAGGUUUCUAACAAUGUCACUAGACUCUCCUGAAGUUUUCAAGAUUACACAAACCUCCCCUGAGGUUAAGGUUUUGUUAACAAAAUUAGUUCAAUUAGAAAUAGUAAUAUUAAAAAGGUACUUGAAGGAGAGAGAUGAAACUUUUAUUUUAUAAAUACCCCUUAUGCAUGUAUAUAAGUUGUAUUAGUAAAAAAAAUAAAAAUAAUUAAAAGUUAGAAACAAUUAAUACAUACAUUUCACCACUUAAAAGUUCACAUUUAAUAAAUUAGGCAAUACAAAUAAGCAACAAAACUACACUAAUAAUCAUAAGAUUCAAAACGACCUUCUUUCGUUUGUGAUCAUUAGAGUAGUUUUGUUGCUUAUUUGUGUUUUCUAAUUUAUUAAAUGUGAAUUUUUUGAGCGGUGAAAUAUGUAUAUUGAUUAUUUCUAACUUUUAAUUUAUGGAACAAAAAUUCCAUCUCUCUCCUUAAAGUACUUUUUUAAUGUUCCUUUUUUUAAUUGGACUAAUUUUGUCAUCAAAACCUUAACCUCAGGGGAGGUUUGUGUAAUUUUACAAAUUUCAGGGAAGGCUAGUGAAAUUAUCAGAAAGUUCAAGGGAGGUUUCUCAAAUUAUCCCAAAGAAAAAACAAAAGAAAAUCCUCCACGGCUGCUGCAGCCUGCGGCCAUCUCCUCAACACUGCUCACCUAAAUUGAUGAUCUUGCUUAAUUUUCAAUUCGCCUUCAAAGCCCCAUCGCUCAAAGGGAUUCCUUUUGCCCAUUUAGGGAUUCCAUGACUUAGAAAGUUCAGCAAAUUUCAGUUGAAUUCUUAGUACUUUACCUUGAUUUCUCUUUUCUCCCUUUCUGUUAUGGUACAGAACCAGAGUCGCAGCAAUAUGAGAAUGUUGCAAACUCAAAAUAUGGGUUAAUCGCGGCAAACAAUCAAUGGAACAGUGAAUUUGGAGAUUAAAAGAUGAACUCAACUUUCAUUAAUGAACUUCAAUAUUAGGUUACAAGAACAGAGAAUACGAAUUCAGUGAGGAAGGGGAAAGAAAUUGAAGGAAAACUUGGGAGGAGGGAAACGAGAUUGGUGGCCCAAAUCUCUUACAAUCAAAGCUGGAAAAUAAUGACAAAAGCUACUCUAUACCGCAGACAUGCCUGCUUAUAUCACUAUCUGUGCUAACAAACUUUCAACUAAACCAAUGAACUCUAAACACGUGUCCUUUCAUAGCUACAAGUGGCAAUGGUCCUCAGUUUCUGUUCGAAGCAGAUGAAACCCAGCAAAGGCGUGGUUUGUGGGCACGCCUUCGAUGACUCACUUAUGCAAAACUUCACGCUUUCAGCUUCUGACAUCACGACUUCUUCAUUUCUGCUUCUUAGUUCAUUUCUUCAGUUCCAGUCUAACCUUUUAGCUCCAUCACAAUUUCAUGUUUGUUCAGGGUUCCGACGACUCUUUUGAAAUUCACGAGGGCGGCAGCUUUGAUUUCGAUGGGCUUUGAUUUUCUCCGGGGCGCUGUUAUGAUUCACGCUACAACCAUAGUCAGUGCAAGUGUGAUGGCACAUCGACACUCUUGUUGUCUCCAUGAUUAUCAUCGGUAUUGAUCCUAAAGUUACAGUCUUCUUUGUUUUCCUUUUUCCGCCUUCAUUUUGUGGCUUUCUUAUUAUUUUUAAUGGGUUUCCAUUUUUCAAUUUCAUCUAGGGUUUAAAUUACUGAUAAAUUUUUUAUUAUUAAAAGAGUAGGUUGACUGGAAUGAAUCCAUCAUCUCAUAAAUAGUUCCUCUUCACAUUUGGAUGCCAUACUAUAUGUAGUUUUCUUCUGGUAUCAAUCUAAAUUUUUUGUUUUUGAUUCUAUUUGAUCCACGUUUAACUACUUGCUGCUGAGAGUAUGAAAAUGCAAUUUUAAUUUAGAGGAAUUUACUUUCAUUUGGUGAUGCAAUGAUUCUUAGGGAUGUGCUAUUGGUACAUACAAAGAUGUUGAAGGAUCUGAUGAAAAUCUCUGCAAACCUUGUUCCCUUGACUGCCUUCCUAGUCAUGCAUUUUUUAUCUAUGUAUGAGGUGAUGUAAUGCAAUGAGCUUUAAGUUUCUUAGAAGUCCAUUUCUCAAUUAUCUGCUUCAUUAUUGGACAUGAUAGAUCUAACUUUAUUUUGGGUAUGAUUUGCUACAGGGGAUGUUACCAAAUCAGUUUGUCCCUACAAAUGUAUAUCCAAAAGGUACAGAAUGCCCAACUGCUAUACCUCUUUUGACGAGUUGAUACAUACACUUGAAGGUCCCUGGCCAUUCUCACUCUUAUCAGCAUGUCUUGCACUCCUUCUAGCUCUAGUAUUGAGCACUUUGAGGAUCAAAUUGAUUGGGUUGGGAUGUUCACAUAUCAAUGUGAAUUCAACUGAGCUCCAAAAUCAUCAUCAUUCUCCUUAUCUUCUCACUUUAUCUGACGUAUGGUCUUCAUUAACUUUUCGGUUCUAGGAUGCAUCUAUGUAGUAUUGCCAAAUUGGCAAUUUUUAUUUUUACAGUAAUUUAUUUGCAUAACAUCUAGGUCUGUGGUGCCAGAGCCGAAGAAACUCAGAGCCAUGUCCACAUGAUGUAUUUUUAUGGUCCCAAUACUUUUAGAUAACCGUAUAAUCUUCCCUAUUUGCCUCCCAACGCAAUUGUUGAGAUUGUGUAAACAUUCACAUGUAAUUUGAAGUUUUUGGGUAGUAGGCAAGGGUUUAGAAGAAAAAAACUUGUUCACCUUGGAACCUUAUAUGUAGGAGUUUAAUUUAUUAGUUCUUUUGUCAUCUUUGAUUACGAGACAAUUUUGAAUGCUGUACAUAUUUUUCCUUGCCAUUUUAAAAGACUGUGCUUAAGUUCAUGAUUAUUUAGUAACUUUUGAGUUUUACACCUGAAAGUUAUUAGUCUUUCUUCUUAUUCAUUAAUUUUUAUUCCACAAAGAUACAUAAGUUAAUCUUUGAUCCAUUUCACUGAGUCAGAAUUUUGACUUCUUUUCCAAUGAACUGUACUUGGUUGAGGCUCACUUAGCUUCAACUUUCUGGUCUGAUACAGCGAGAAUAUGAGAGUUUUUCUAAACAAAAUUUUACUUCAUUUGCAAAAUUUUCAAGGUUACUCAUGUGCUAAUGGUGAUUAACAGCAGGUAUGAAGGUGCUUUGAACAGAUUUAUAGACGAGAUCAACUCCGUUGCAGCAUAUGAACGGUGGGAAGGGUCAGUGCAUAGCACAUGCUUGCUUAAUCUUGUUCCUGGUCCCGGAAACAAUGGCGUUGGAGUAAUAAAGUUCACCAUUGUCAGGAGUAUGUUUAGUCUGAGUAUGACCAUUCUUGUAUAUGAUCCUGCAGAUCGCCAGCAUUAUACAAAGGAAUGAAGGUUUGACUUUGUUGCUAAGAGUGAAACUCUUUGGCCCUGUGGAAAUCUGAUCAAAAUUUUGUGGCUCAGGAAUUUGCAGCCUAAUACUUCUUUUAUGCCCUGCAAGACAAUGAUGCUAGUAUGAAUUUGGUGUAUUUAGUUCAAUAGAGUAUUUUCUUAUGUUGAUAUGGCCUAUUAAUUCGGUGUAUUGAAUUAAAAUAGCUUUAAAAAGUUUAUUUAUGUAAUAAAAGUUGUUUAAUUAAGAAUUUUAUCUGCAUAUCAGUAGCCAAUUGCUUGAUUACAUAUUUGCUAAAGUUGUAAAUUAACCAAUGUCUGGGCAUGCUCAUGCGUUGCAUUAGGGCUCACACAAGUAUUCUAGUCCAAAGAACAAAGAAUUUGAGAUCAUCUACAAAGGCGCUGGAAUUGGAUGAGAAGUUGGAAGAGGAGAAUUUGACGAUUCUACUCUUCAAACAGGGCCAAUUCCAAGCUUCAAGCAGUCAAUUAGCCAACUAAGUCCAAUAUCAUCUUUCUUUGCCCUUUUUUGAUUUCCUUCCUCCAAUACUCUGUCUUGCUUAAAGCUGAUGUGAAGGAAUUGUAUGUUUUCAGAUGUAUUAUGCAUUUAGUCAUAGAUAGUGUUAUAAGUUUAUACCUAGCAGUGUAAUUUCUGUUCUUUUUUCUAUUCUAUUGUUUGCCUUUUAUGGUCACUUUUGCGAACCUUUCCUUGCCAGACACGUGUCUGUUAAACAUCUUUGGCACUUUUCUUUUGAGGUAUCAUGAGCUCUAACAAGUCGCUCUAGCUUUAAUCGUAAGACCCUUCUGAUCCAUUACUCACAUGACUGCUGUAUAAGCUUGUUUCAUGUGUUCACAUGACAUGGUGCAUAUGCCUUUUUGUUUUGUUUUUUUUUUUCAAUUAUCCUUAGUAAUGGAUGAAUUUUUCUAUGUAUUUCUCUGUAGAAGAUCAAGAUGUUUUAGGUUGUCAAUUAAUCUUUUGCACUUAAUCUAAUUGCUAUGACAUCUCUUGUCCAAAGUAUGUUGUUACUUUUUGUCUUAUUUGUCCAUUUGUGGAUUUCCAGCUCCGCAAAAGAGUGUUUCAAGUUUCUCACUAGAUACCUCACAACAUUUUCUGAUGAAGAUGCAUAUGCUAUGAAUGAAGCAAAGGAAGAAGCAGUCCGUGCUAUAGUUGAUUUUCUGAAGGCACCUGGCAUGUUUCAAGUAUCGCUUGUCUGUCUCUUUGAAUUGCAUAUAAAAUGGUUGUGAGGAGCCUCAAGGCUUGGUUGAAUCUGACUUUAUGGAGCAUGAUUAUUCAUCUCCAAAUGUUACAUUAAAUUUUUCUUUGCUAUAAUUUUGAGCUAAAGUGUGACAUAUAUGCUAUUGUACUUCAUUAUCAAUAUGGUAUAUUGGAACUUAUUUGCGUGAUGUGUCACAACAUUGUGGAGUCAUUUGUACCUUGGAAUGUGAAGAAACCUACAACUCAUCAAUCAAGUUAGAUUUUGUUCUUGUUGUCUUGGAUUAUAGUAGUUGUACUUCUACUUCCAUAUUUAUUUGAAUAGUUGAUAGAUAGACGAACUUGUCAGAUGGUAUGUCUUCUUGGAAUAUAGCUAUAUGUCGACCUUGUAGAAGGUGAAAAGCUGUAUGUAUUUUAUGAAACCAGGGACAUAAUUUACUUUGUGACUUCUUGUUUUCAAAGACUGGUACUGGCGCCGGUGCACCUGGAAGUUGCUUGUGCUAUUAUGUUUUGGAUAAUAUUUCACUCUUGCUACAUGGAUAAUGAUUCUUUUAUGCGUGUUCUUGCUAGUGGGACUACCAUGUAAGCCUGCUGUGGCGCAGUUAGAGAAGGAUGCUAAACAUGCAUUGGUAUAUCAGCUCCUGAAGAUCUUCUUGACUCAAGUUUGAUGCUUACUCGGAUUUUCCUUGUUUCAUUGCUGCUGAAAAGCCAUUGACCACUUAGUUUCCUCGACAAAAUUUCUUUCUUUCGUUGUAGUUUAUGUCAUUUUUUGGGAUAGAUAUUUUCAGAUGAAUCUUAGUAGUGAUAGCUUAAUUGCUAAAGUACACAAAUACAACACUCAAUUUUCACUGGGGAUACCAGAUUGCAAUACUUAUUUAGAAGUUCUUUACAAUGAUGCAUUGGAUUGUAAGUUUUUUUCUUUUUUUUUGGUGUGUUCCUAACUCAUCUGGAAAAUAUCUCAAAUAUGAGGGUGUUCCUUAUUCUUUUUAGUCCAUUUGGUUUUAGAUUAGUCAAAAUUUAUAAUCAAUCUGUCAUUUUCCUAGUAUAUUUAUUCAAAUGGCCAAAAUAAGAAAUUUGAAAUUUAUAACCAAUUUGUUAACGAUCUAAUCUAUUCAAUCAAAUGGCAAAAACGAGCAAUUUAAUGUAUUCUUGCUCGUUUUUCCAUGGCCAAGAGUGAAAUUGGAAAAAACUGCAAACUUAGAUGUAAAAAAAUGCGAUGAAUCAAUUUGAUGUAUUCUAAAUCGAAAAUUUUGAUUUGCUAGAGAUAAAGGAACUUGAUUGCACAGUUGGUUGCCAAGUUAUAAGAUCUAGAUUUAGAUCCCUCUAGUUGAAAAUAUGGGAUAUUCCCUUGAAAUGUUUUUAUAAUGUAGAAUGGUCAUCUUGUUUAUUCUUGGUGGUUUUAUUGAUGAACUCGUAUAAUUUGUAUUGUAAAUUGGAGAAUCAAUCAAUUUUUGUUAUAGCGAUGAUAAGGUUCAUAUUUUAAAGUACUAAGUUCUACUAAAAUAAGAAAAUAUAAAAAUAAUGUUCUACAACAAUAAGCAUUGAGAUGAAUUUAAUAACAGUGACGUUUAUGGAAUAUUAGGUACAAACAAUUGCUAAAUAAGUUCUUUAGCAAAUGCACUCCUUGAUCAACGUGGUUGUUUAGAAUAAUGACGCUAAAUUAGUAGCAAUAGUUAUGAGUUUUUAUUGAUAGGAUAUGUUUUCUGUGUAAAUGAGGCGCUAACAAGAAGAAAUAUUUUAUUGACGAAUUUUUUUAUAUUUUUAUGUAGUCCCGAAUACUAGGAUAGAGAUUAAUCUUUCAUACAACUAGAAAUGCUAUUUAUAAUGAUCAGUCUUUUUUUGUGACUUUCAACAAAAUCUUCCACAAAAUCUUCACCGAAAAGGAUACUUUCGUAUGAGGGCUUCCACCUCGGCUAUCCCAAUUGUGCUCCUAAAAUGAGGGAGUUGGCCGAAAUCUAUUCUGGUGAGGUCUAGUGGAGCCGCUGGCUCCAAUACCCCCUCAUCUCGGGAUAUCUCAGAUUCGAGGUCGUCGUUAUAUAAGACCUCGGACUCCGUCUCCUCGGCUUCCGGAGAAAUCUCGGCUCUUUCUCCUCCUAGGUUGGCAAAGGUGUCUUCAACCUCCUCGGAAGGGUCGGAGCUCUCCGCUUCUUCGAAGUUCGGCCUCAUUGUCUUUUUAUGCGUAUGAGCUAUUCUAGCCAUACUUGAAAAAGAAAAUGGACUUACUAUUUUCUAAAGAAAGUAGAGGUCAGCUACUUCGCGCUAGCAAAAAAUAAUCUCAAUUGAUUGCCUCGGUUGAGUUGAUGUAACUUUCUCUCACAGUGAAAGUAAAAGGUGAAAAGCCCUCUAUUUAUAGGAGGGGAAAGGCAAACAGGCAGUCGUUUUGAAUUUCAAAAGACGUGUCCCCUCUUUUCUCAUUAAUGAGUGACUAUUCGUCUGACAUCCGUUCAAUGCAUCCCUCAAUGUCCAAGCCUUUAUUUCCCCCAUUGAAACUUGGCUUACCAUCAUCCCAAUGUGAGCCACAUGUCUUGUCAUUGUUCUGCGACUUAGCCUGGAGUAGGGAGGCAUGCUAGCUUUCCCCUCCCCAAGGCUGGGGGGCUUAUUGAGGGCGUUCACCUCGUCCCUCCUCGAUUUUACGACUGGGUGAGGUGACCUCCGCGAGUCCCUUGCCACCUCGGCUCAUUGUCUCACCCCCUAGGGUCGGCCUCAGUCUCUCCGAGGCGGCUUCACCUCAGCUUGACUUCCUAUCUGACAUCUAACAGACCACAGGAAAGGUUGACUUGUACACGACGGAAUGACAUGAUAGUGACAUGACUAUUGGAAAUAGUUAGUGAUAAAUUCCACAUUGAAAGUAUGUGAAGUAUGGAAGAGGUUUAUAAUCAAGGGCACACGUAUUCAAAUCAAUUUGGAUGGUAGGAAAUUUUGGAGGGAAACUUCAAAAUUGCACAUGCAUUUGUCAUGUUGACUAUUAAAUUAAAAUAUAAAUUUAAUGGUCAAAAGAUUGGCACUUGGCACUUGGGCACUUGGAUCUUAAGAACCAAAAUUAAUUUUAAUUAAUUUCGUUUUAAUAUUUCUUCUUAACUAAACGGUUUCCUUUUAGGGGUUAUAUCUGAUGAUACAGCGCAUGCAACCGUUAAGUGUCUAUUUAUUUUUAAAAGGUACAUAUUCAUGAAGAAAUACGUUUCUAAAAGACAUGACAUUUCUUUUGGGGUACCUGAACAUUAUAAAUAAGAGUAUACAGAUAACAAAAAACUCUCUUUUUUUUUUUUACUUCUGAUUUUCCUAUUCUUCUACUUCGUUCAAAACAAUAUUCUCUAAACUGUUUUUUGAGAGAAUUUCUACAUACUACUGUGUGGAAAUUCUGGUUGGCUUUGUUAUUCUUAGAUGGAAUUGCUCAAACCCAGUAGUAGAAUAGUGAGAGCAAAUUUCCUUAAGGAAAGUGAAUUUUCACGUCAAAGCCGUUUUCUGUUGUCAUAGUUAUUACUGUUUUACUAACAAUGACCACUGCUAUGUCCUUUCUAUCAGGCCUAAGUCUGACACUGUCAGCCUAAGGCCUAUGGGAAUUGAAGCUCAUCAUUCUUCCGACCAUAUUGUCUAUUAUAAAUACCCUUCCAUCCGUAGGAAAGGUACAUACAUACUCUAACUCAGACACAUAUUAGAAAUACUAAGGCCCUUGCUUUUAGUUUGCAAUUGCGUACCACUUGACCGGGGAACAAAGCCCUGUGCUCUUUAUGCAGAUUUGAUAGGUGAAUCCUUCGGUUCGGUCCAAUCAUUCGGAAUUCAGCUUUUCACCUUCAAAGCCCCAUCACUCAAAGAGAUUCCUUUUGCUCAUUUAGAGAUUCCAUGACUUAGAAAGUCCAACUAAUUUCAGGUGAAUUUGCAGUUCUUUGCUUUGAUUUCUCCUUUCUCACUUUAAUGUUUGUUCAGGGUUCCUACAACUCUUUUGAAACUCACGAGGGCGGCAGCUUUGAUUUAGAUGGGCCUCACUCUCCAGCGUUGUUAUGAUUCACGCUACAACCAUUGGCGGUGCAAGUGUGAUGGCACUUCCCGAAACCCUCCUGAAUAAAAUUGGCACUCGUGCUGUGUCCUCGGUAUUGAUCCUAAAUUUACAAUCUUUUUUUAUUAGAGAAAUUUACUGUCAUUUGGUAAUGCAAUGAUUCUAGGAAUGCACUAUUGGAACAUACAAAGAUGUUGAAGGAUCUAACGAAAAUAUCUACAAACCUUGUUCCCUUGAGCGCCUUCCUAGUCAUGCAUUUUUUUUUAUCUAUGUAUGAGGUGAUGUAAUGCAAUGAGCUUUAAUAUUCUUAGAAGUCCAUUUCUCAAUUAUUUGCUUCAUCAUUGGACAUGAUAGAUCUAACUUCAUUUUGGGUAUGAUUUGUGUUAGGUCUGGUCCCAGGAAAUUGACAAAAGGAUUUGUAGGAACCCCUAAAAGACAAAUAACAAAGCAGAAAUAAGUAAAACAAGAACACAAGAAUUUACAUGGUUCGGUCAAAUUGACCUACGUCCACGGGCGGAGGAGGAGCAAUAUUUUACUAUGAAGAAGAGAGUACAAAAGAUGCCUUAGGAAAGUGUUCCUAGGCCCAAAACACCUAAUACUAAAACACAAGAGAGCCUAAAAGUAUUUAACUAAACAAAAGGUUUAAUGACCCAAAGGCCCAAAUAGCCCACUAAUGCUCUUUUGGUCUUGUGCACUUAACCCCAUCACAGGCCCACUAUAUUUAUAGGCAACCAAGGGAAAGGUUCCCUUAUACAAAAGCCGAUGUGGGACAACGCCACACUAACAAAUCUCCACCUUGACGUGUCCCCAACAUCAACAGUAGCAAAACUGCUCCACCUUCUCCACAUAAACUCCAAUGGGCUCACCAACAACGAAUACCAACUCAAAUCAAGCAUUGUUUGAACUUGUAAACUGGAAGAGAUUUCGUGAACAUGUCAGCAGGAUUCUCCUUGGUACUGAUUUUCUGAACAAGGACUUUUCCCUCAGCAAUAGUAUCUCGAAUGAAAUGAAAUUUCACAUCAAUGUGCUUCGUCCUCUCAUGAUACAUCUGGUCUUUGGUCAAAUGAAUGGCACUUUGACUAUCACAGUAAAUAGUAAUAACACCUUGAUACAAACUAAGUUCGCCAAACAGACUCUUCAACCACAAAGCUUCUUUGAUUGCCUCAGUCAUGGCCAUAUAUUCUGCCUCCGUAGUAGAUAAAGCUACAAUAGAUUGUAAAGUAGCUUUCUAACUAACUGCACAACCGCCAAUGCAAAAUACGUAAUUUGAAAGUGAUCUUCUCCUGUCAAGAUCCCCAGCAUAGUCAGAGUUUACAAAACCAACCAAAGUGUUAUUAUUUCUUCCAAACUCCAAACUACAAUUUGAAGUCCCUCGCAAGUAUCUGAGAAUCCACUUCACAGCCUAUCAAUAUGCUUUUCCGAGACACGACAUAUACCUGUUAACCACACUGACUGCUUGUGCAAUAGCUGGACGAGUACAAACCAUUGCAUACAUAAUGCUGCCAACUACGUUGGAAUAAGGAACCCGUGUCAUAUACUCUUCCUCUUCAACUGACUGUGGUGACUGAGUAGCAGAUAGUCGAACAUGAAUAACAAGAGGAGUAGUCACAGGUUUAGCAUCUUUCAUGCCAAACUUCUCCAAAACCUUUUCAAGAUAAUUUUCUUGAGUCAAGAAUAAUUUUCUAGCUCCUCGGUCUCUUUUGAGUUCCAUGCCAAGAAUUUUCUUAGCUGCUCCCAAAUGUUUCAUGUCAAAUUCACUACUUAACUGCAACUUCAAAGUGUGAAUUUCUGACAAAUUCUUGGCAGCAAUGAGCAUGUCAUCAACAUAAAGUAGCAAAUAAAUAAAAGAACCAUCAUCUAACUUCCGGAAGUAAACGCAACUAUCAUACAUGCUCCUUGAAUAACCAUGACUCAACAUAAAAGUGUCAAAUCUCUUAUACCACUGUCUUGGAGAUUGUUUCAAUCCAUAUAAGGAUUUUUUUAACAAACAAACAUGGUCUUCCUUUCCUUCAAUUUCAAAUCCCUGAGAUUGUUUCAUAUAAAUUUUUUCUUCAAGUUCACUAUGUAAAAAAGCUGUCUUAACAUCAAGUUGCUCCAACUCCAAAUCAUACAUGGCAACUAAAGCAAGCAAAACACGAAUAGAGCUAUGCUUAACAACAUGUGAAAAUACUUCAUUAAAAUCAACACCUUGUACCUGACUAUAGCCCUUUGCAACCAAACAUGCUUUAUACCUUGCAUCUUCAACUCCUGGAAUACCUUCUUUCUUCUUGAAGACCCAUUUGCAUCCAACAAUUUUCUUACCUGAAGGCGGCUUCAUAAGAACCCAAGUUCCAUUUCGAUGGAGAAACUCAAUUUCUUCAUUUAUCGCAACCAACCACCUAGCAGAAUCAUCACAAGAAAUCGCAUCUGAAUAAGUAAUAGGCUCAUCAACUACAUCAGUUUCUUCUGCGAUAGACAAAGUAUAUGCAACCAAAUUUGCAUAUUUUUGUGGUGGUCGAAUAUCCCUCAUUGGUUUAUCUCUGGCAAUGAAAUAUUCUUCCUCUUCUGAAUUAUUUUCAUCGGUAGAUUCAGAUGCAUCUACUAGCACUUGUUGAAUAGAAAGACCAGAGAGAUAAAUGAAAUAUUCUUCCUCUUCUGAAUUAUUUUCAUCGGUAGAUUCAGAUGCAUCUACUAGCACUUGUUGAAUAGAAGGACCAGAACUACCAAUCUCAAGCUCCACCUGCUUCUGCAUACUAUUAUCUGUUUGACAAGAACUAGAAGACUCCUUCUUGGAAGAUAACAUAGAGAAUUCAUCAAAAGUAAUGUCUCUACUGAUUAUAAAUUUUGGAGAUUCAAGGAAAAUACACUUUUUAGCACGAGAUUCUAAUUUUCCAUCAUUUACAUGCAUGUAUGCUGGACACCCAAAAAUUUUAAAAUCAGAAUAAUCAGCAGGAGUACCUGACCAAAUUUCCUCAGGAGUUUUGAAAUUAACGGCAGCAGAAGGAGCACGGUUAACAAUAUAACAGGCCAUAGAAAUUGCUUCGGCCCAAAAAUCUUUGGCCAACCCUGCGUUAGAGAUCAUGCACCUCGCUCUCUCUAAAAGUGUUCUGUUCAUACGUUCGGCCACACUAUUUUGCUGAGGCGUCAUCCUGACAAUGUGAUGCCGAACAAUUCCUUCAUUCUUGCAAAAUUCAUUAAAUUCUCUUUCACAAAAUUCCAUACCAUUAUCUGUUCUAAGCCGUUUGAUCUGUUUAACUGUCUGUUUCUCAAUCAAAACUUUCCAUUGCUUGAAAGUGAGGUAAAUAUCAUUCUUAUGUUUAAGAAAAUAAACCCAAACUUUUCUUGAAUAAUCAUCAAUGAAAGUCAACAUAUACAUGGCACCACCCUUAGACGGAACACGAGAUGGACCCCAUAAAUCUGAAUGAAUAUAAUCAAGAGUACCUUUCGUCUUAUGGAUCGCUUGAGAACUGAAGCUAACUCUUUUUUGCUUCCCAAAUAUACAAUGUUCAUAGAAUUCUAGUGACCCAGUACUCUGACCGCAAAGAAGUCCCAUUUUGCUUAGUAUGCUCAGGCCUUUCUCGCUCAUAUGUCCCAAACGCAUAUGCCACAAUUUAGUGAUGUCAGAAUCAGACAAAGAUGAUGAUAACGAAACUGCAACCGAGCCUGUGACAGUAGAUCCCUGCAAAACAUAUAAACUACCAACCCUGCAAGCUUUCAUUACAACGACAGCACCUUUAGAAACCUUCAUAAUGCCAUUUUCACCUGUGUAUUUGCACCCAAGAGCCUCUAGAGUGCCCAAAGAGAUGAGAUUCUUUUUCAAAUCAGGAACAUGUUUAACAUUAGUGAGCAUCCUCACAAUACCAUCAUACAUUUUAAUUCGAAUUGUACCCUUACCAACAACAUUAUAAGCGGCAUUAUUAUCCAUCAAAACAAUUUCACCAUUAUAAGAUUCAUAAGUGGAAUAUAAAUCCCUAUUGGGACACAUGUGAUAAGAGCACCCCGAAUCUAAAAUCCACUUAUUUUUAGACCUUGUCCUGUCAUCAGUCACAAAGAAAAUACUUCCUUCAUUCUCAUCAGCUGCAACACCAGUUUCGGCAGCCUCAAAAUUUUUUUCACUAGGUUUCCCCUUUUAUUUCAAUUUAUUUUUCAAUUUGAAACAAUCUGCCUUAACGUGCCCCAUUUUAUGACAAUAAUUGCACUCCACAUUUUUAUGUCUGGAUUUAGAUCUAGAUUUAGAUCUACUUUUAUUAAAUUCUCUUCUCUCAGUUCUGUCCCUAACAACCAGACCUUCUGCAUGGCCUCCACUAAAUUUUUCAGUAAUAUCCCUGUCUAUCUGCUCCUUAGAUUUUAAUGCAGAUUUAAUUUUCUGAUACAAAAUUGUUUCUUUUCCAUAAAUCAUAGUAUCGCGAAAAUGUUUAAAAGAUUGGGGAAGGGAACACAAAAGUAACAGGGCCUGAUCCUCAUCAUCAAUUUUUGAAUCUAUAUUUCCCAAAUCCAUAAUAAUGGAAUCAAAUUUAUCAAGAUGUGAGAGUAUAGAUGUACCUUCAGUCAUGCGAAGCAUAUACAAACUUUGCUUUAAAUAAAGCCGAUUCUCAACUGUCUUCUUCAUGUACAAGACCUUAAGUUUGUCCCACAUGGCCUUUGCCGAAGUCUCAGUGGCUACCUCCCGCAAAAGCUCGUCAGAGAAAUUUAAGAUAAUACUGGAUCUUGCCUUCUUAUCCAUCUCAGCAAAAUUUGCUUCUGUCACACUCUCUGGCUUUUUCUCAAUUCUGUGUAUUGCUAGAUCAACUCCGUCUUGAACCAAAAUGGCCUCCAUCUUGAGCUGCCACAUCCCGAAGUUGACAUUCCUGUCGAAUUUCUCGACGACAGUCUUUGUUAUUGUCAUUGUUGCCACAAAAUCCAAAGCCUCCAAAGAAGCUCUGAUACCAGUUUGUUAGGUCUGGCCCCAGGAAAUUGACAAAAGGAUUUGUAGCAACCCUCAAAAGACAAAUAACAAAGCAGAAAUAAGUAAAACAAGAACACAAGAAUUUACGUUGUUUGGUCAAAUUGACCUACGUCCACGGGCGGAGGAGGAGCAAUAUUUUACUAUGAAGAAGAGAGUACAAAAGAUGCCUUAGGAAAGUGUUCCUAGACCCAAAACACCUAAUACUAAAACACAAGAGAGCCCAAAAGUAUUUAACUAAACAAAAGGCUUAAUGACCCAAAGGCCCAAAUAGCCCACUAAUGCUCUCUUGAUCUUGGUGCACUUAACCCCAUCAUAGGCCCACUAUACUUAUAGGCAACCAAGGGAAAGGUUCCCUUAUACAAAAGCCGAUGUGGGACAAUGCCACACUAACAAUUUGCUACAGGGAAUGUUACCAAAUCAGUUUGCCCCUACAAAUGUAUAUCCAAAAGGUACAGAAUGCCCAACUGCUAUGCCUCUUUUGAAGAGUUGAUACAUAAUCUUGAAGGUCCCUAGCCAUUCUCACUCUUAUCAGGGUGUCUUGCACUCCUUCUAGCUCUAGUAUUGAGCACUUUGAGGAUCAAAUUGAAUGGAUUGGGGUGUUCAUAUAUCAAUGUGAAUUAAACUGAGCUCCAAAAUCAUUAUCAUUCUCCUUAUCUUCUCUCUUUAUCUGACGUACGGUCUUCAUUAACUUUUUGGUUCUAUGAUGCAUCUAUGUAGUAUUGCCAAAUUGGCAAUUUUUAUUUUUAACGUAAUUCAUUUGCGUAACAUCUAGGUCAGUGGUGCCAGAGCUGAAGAAACUCAGAGCCAUGUCCACAUGAUGUACUUUUAUGGGUCCAAAUACUUUUAGAGAACCAUAUAAUCUUCCCUAUUUGCCUCCCAACGCAAUUGUUGAGCCUAUGUAAACAUUUGCUUGUAAUCUGAAGUUUUUGGGCCGUAGGCAAAGGUUUAGAAGAAAAAAUGUUGUUCACCUUGGAACCCUAUAUGUAGGAGUUUAAUUUAAUAAUUCUUUUGUCAUCCUUGAUUACGAGAGAAUUUUGAUUGCUGUAUAUAUUUUUCUUUGCCAUUUUAAAAGACUGUGCUUAAGUUUAUGAUUAUUAAGUAUCUUUUGAGUUUUACACCUGAAAGAUAUUAGUCUUUCUUCUUAUUCAUUAAUCUUUAUUACACAAAGAUACAUAAGUUAAUCUUUACUGAGUCAGAAUUUUGACUUCUUUUCCAAUGAACUGUACUUGGUUGAGGCUCACUUAGCUUCAACUUUCUGGUCUGAUACAGCGAGAAUAUGAGAGAUUUUCUAAACAAAAUUUUACUUCAUUUGUAAAAUUUUCAAAUGUUACUCAUGUGCUAAUGGUGAUUGACAGCAGGUAUGAUGGUGCUUUGAACAGAUUUAUAGACGAGAUCAACUAAAUUGCAGCAUACAAACGGUGGGAAGGGUCAGUGCAUAGCACAUGCUUGCUUAACCCUGUUUCUGGUCCCGGAAACAAUGGCGUUGGAGUAAUAAAGUUCACCGUUGUUAGGAGUAUGUUGAGUCUGAGUAUGACCAUUCUUGUAUAUGAUCCUGCAGAUCGCGAGCAUUAUACAAAGGAAUGGAGGUUUGACUUUGUUGCUAAGAGUGAAACUCUUUGGCCCUGUGGAAAUCUGAUCAAAAUUUUGUGGCUCGGAAAUUUGCAGCCUAAUACUUCUUUUAUGCACUGCAAGACAAUGAAGCUAGUAUGAAUUUGGUGUAUUUAGUUCAAUAGAGUAUUUUCUUAUGUUGAUAUGGCCUGUUAAUCAUGUGUAUUGAAUUAAAAUAGCUUUAAAAAGUUUGUUAUGUAUAAUUGCAAGUUAAGUAUUAAAAGUUGUUUAAUGAAGAAUUUUAUCUGCGUAUCAGUAGCCAAUUGCUUGAUUACAUAUUUGCUCAAGUUGUAAAUUAACCAAAGUCUGGGCACCUUCAUGCAUUGCGUUAGGGCUCACACAGUAGUCUAGUCCAAAGAACAAAGAACCUGAGAUCAUCUACAAAGGUGCUAGAAUUGGAAUAGAAGUUGGAAGAUGAAAAUUUGACGAUUCUACUCUUCAAACAGGGCCAAUUCCAACCUUCAAGCAGUAAAUUCCAUAGACCUACUAGGAACCAUUUUUGCUAUCUCCAUGGAAUUUCCAUAGAAAUUCUUUCUGCAAGAAUAUGAAAUACUUACUUCAAGUGCCUUCACAUUAUAUUCACACUUUCGAGUAUAUAUCCAUUUGCACAAAUUCAAAGAAAGAAUUAAGAAAUCCAAAACCAUUAUACUCAAUGUCAUUUAACAGUGCAUUUAAUUGCAACUUUAAGAUUCAUGCUCACAAGUUGCAAAAAUAAUAUGGUACCACAUGAGAUUCUACACAUUCAUCUUUUUCCGUUAUUCACACUAGAAAUCCAUGUUAUUGAGAAUCUUCAAUGAUAUAUCAGAUUCUUUGCAUUAAUUUUUAGCAAAGGAAAAACCCCCAUUAUUUUAGUGCUUUAAUGAUACGCAACUAAACACAUAUCGCAUUCAAAGAUCCAAGUUCUUUGCAUAUUAGCAUAGAAAAUUACUAUGAACCCACUAUUUGUCACAACUUUUUAACAUGCAAUGGAGUAUAUAUCUAUUGCAAUUAGAGUGAAUGACCCAAUUAAUCAUACCCAUUGGAAGCUCACUUUUACUUGUUAAGAAGGCACCUUUAAAAAUUUCCUUCAAAAUGCAUGGCAGCAACUUGUCUAGUGCAGCAACAAGUUGUAAUUGUUCAGCAAUUUGAACUCUUUCGGAUCUACUUCUCUGGUGCCAUAUUUUCCUAUUAAGCCUUCCAAGACUUUUGGUAUUAGGACAAGAAGUUUCAUAGAAACUAUAAAAGUCAUUAUAAUACUAGCAAUGGAAUUCAACAACUUCCCUUUUUCUUAAAUUUUUCUCCACAAGCAUUCUUUUAUUGUUAAUAUGUUUCAUUGGUUGAGAUCUUCUCAUUUUUCGUCCAUAGGUAGGCUCAAGUGACUUGUAAGUUGAACUCCAUCUUGUUCUGAACCACUUUAAAAUUGUUGCUCCGCUAGAACAACUAUACAAAUGUCAAAUAGAAAAAUUAACAAUAGUUAUAAUAAUAAUUAUAACUAUAAUUAAAUAGUCAAAAUAAUAAUAUGAUAAUGCACAAAUGUAAUGGGUUGAGGUAUGGAUAUUUCGCCUUCUUUAAGAUUAUUUAAGCCUCUGCGAAAGAAUCAAUUUUCGUGUAGUAGAAUCUUCGGCUUGUUACCCCAAGGAUAUAACAGUCCAACUACACAUGCUGUUACUCUCAUUAGUCUGUACAACUAAGAGAGUAUAAAUUUUUUUUGCCAAUACAUGAGAUAGAAAAUAACAAAAGAGUAGAUAUUUUCUCUUAUGAAUUGUAGCUCAAAAAACAUAAGUUGUUGUAGCAUCUUUUUCUAUCUCAAUAACCCAUAUUUAUAGAUCAAGAAAAAUUAGUCAAACAUAACCUAACUAAUAAUAUGUUGAGUAGAUGCUGAAAAUUAUUGGCUAUUCAAGACACACUCUAAUUUGAAUUGUAAGUUACAAAAUUUAUUGGAAUUGAAAAGCCAUAAUUUUAUAUAACAAAUCUUUAGUCAAAAAUCAUUCAAACACCAAUAAAUUUGAAAAAUAUUCACCAAUUUAUUCUCCUUAUAACUUACACAUCUAAUUGAGAAUUUAACAAUUUUAUUAAAAUAUUCCAACACCUUAUAUACAUAAUCUAGAAAAUUUUGUGUUACUUCCAUAAAAUCAUGAAAUUAUUUCCAUAAACUAUGGGAGAUCUUUUAGCCACAAGCGAGUUAUGAAUUAACCAUAUUUUAUUUUCAGCUGUAAAGCACAUAUGUUCAACUUCUAAUCGAUUACCUAAACUUAAUUUCACUUCUAUACUUUCACAGAUACCAUUCCCAUAAAAGACUCUCACACUCAUUUGGAGGAGUCCAAAAUGCAAGUUGUUUUCGUAAUUUGUCAUCCUGGAUUAGAUCUACUAAAGGGGCCAAUUGUAGUGUGGUAAAUUAUGACCAUCCCCCACUUCGUGUCCACCAAAUUAUGAGGUGUGGCCCAAGAGUUUAUUUUUAUUCUUUUAUUUUUUUAUGUCAAUUACUUCUGUACAGCUUGAAAGUUCUUUGAUGGAGACUUGGAAGCAUGUUGUUAAUACAGGCAAAAAAAUAGUAAGAUUUUGGUGAUUUUGAGGUCAAUCAUGUUUUUUUGUUAAAAAAAUAGAUGCAUCAGUUAUUUCACCUGCACCCGCUGUGCAUCAAUUUUUUUAGGCAAUAAUAUUUUUAUAAUCAAAUUUAUCCUAAUUUAAAGGAAAGGAAAAUCUAAAAAAACUGUAUAUCAAGGGUUAGUACCUCUACUUUUUUUUUUUUUUUUGGUAAGAAAGUACCUCUACUUACUACUCAAAGAGGGAUUUAGUCUUUCUGUCAACCUGCCGGAGUUUGCUCUGGUGUUUGUGGCUGUGGGGAAGAGAGAAGAAAAAACACGUCGGAGUUUUGGGAGCAACACGUGUCGUGGUUGAAUGGCACCGGAUUGACGUUCCUACAGUGGGAAGGCCAAUAACAUACAAUUCCAUGAUAAAGAGGGUCAGGCCAAAAUCCCCUCCAUCCCAUUGAUAUUGCAUACUUUCUUUGUUGGAUGGUUCUAAAUUAUUUGUCAUUUAUAUAAAUUAGUUGAUAUAUUUCUAUUUAAUUUCUUCAUUUAGUCAUUUACUCCUCAGGCACUCCGUAAAAGUUCAAUGCAUGUUUUUUUUUUUUGAGUCCACGUACUAUUAUCAAGAAAGUAAAACAACUACUUUUUUGUAGUAUGUAACAGUUAUCAAGUAAUUAAAAUCACAACAAUCUAAGAUUUGGUAAAACUUUCAAAUAUCUAAGAUUUUCCACAAAACCUAGGAUUGAACAAAUAUCAUAGCCCCACAAUUCUUUAUGAGUUAGAAACUACACAUCAAGUUUCAAAUUCUAUCCACUAUUAAUAAAAAUUGUAAUUCUUGAACUGCGACAAACUUUAUAAGAUGUAAGGAGCAAUAUUUACUGCAUACAUAUACAUGUAUUGUUUCUUGGCUUGAUUUGUCCUCAUAAAUAAGAUCAUUGCAUCGAUUUUGGUGAAGAAAAACAAUUAGUCGAAGCUCAAACUGCAACUAUUAUAACAUCUUCAACAAUUACAAUAGUGUCAAGAAAGACACCACGUAAAAUGUUGUUUAUUAGGCACUUACAAUAUUGCAAAGUAAGGUAAAUUACAAUAUGACGGUAAAUUACUGCAUCAUAAAUACGCUUCUGAAAGUACAGGCUUUAUUCGUACGCGCCCAGCUUAAAAUCUAUUUGUUCUCUGAAAUCUCCAUGUGCAAUCCCUUGGGGUAACGAAUACCAGUAGGUGUCCGGAUUCUCUCUGCUCCGUUGGUAACUCUCCAGCUGAAAAUUCAAAUUAGACAGUCUUUCUUGAAAAAUCGAAGAAGUUAAGUGGACAUCAAUUUAUAAUAUAUAGGAAUUAGCUUCUUCUAUAUGUAUUUAAGCGAAGAUGGUGGGAAUUGUGAUUUGGAAAUCCUUACG